rnacentral:lncRNA from 1 species
CUGGUACUCAAGUUUUUAGCUUUUGGGAUCAAAUCAUGACUUUUUGGUUCAAUUAAAAAUAGUUAUGACGAGAAUACUACCAGACCGUGCGUUUUGCAUCAAACAGCAAAACACACUCGCGCGUUUUCGCACGUAAAAACUCGCUCGUAAAUCCGUUUUUGUUGCCAUUUUCGCCUACGCGUCCGUAACUCUUAGCUCUAUCACAUUCUGUAGAGAAAUUCAAGUUUCACCCAUCCCCAAAACAGCUUUCUCUGAAUCACUUAAAGGCACUUCUUUUUCCCAAAUCACAUAAGCUAACUUUUCACACAAAACCCAAGUAUCUUCCCAACACCUUUCAAAAACGAAACUUAUAACCUUAAACAUAAGUUCAACUAACUCAUCUCAACACAACAACAUCAACAAUUCAUCUCAAUUCAUCAAGAAUCAUAAUUCACCAUUAAUGACCCAUUUCCUUCAAAACUCAUUAGAACAAUAACAACUUAAUCAUAACUUCAACAAUUACAACACCCAAUGUAUAAAUUAUCAUCAACAACACAACAUAACAUCAAUCAAGGUACAAUUUCAUUAUUUCAUCAACAAUCAACAAGAACUUAAUUUUUACCAAUUUAAACAAAAGUUAUCACAACAACUUAACAACAACAAAAUCAUGAGUUUUAAGCACGUAACCCAACAAUUUCAUGAAGUUUAUCAUAUCCACAAUUUCACAUGAAAUGGGAGCACGAAUUUCAUCAUUCAAAACCACAAAAAGUCACAAUUAUCAUAAAAGCACUUAAACUGAUAUGUAAAAUUUAGAGAUUAUAGCUUAAUUAGUGAAAAGAUACCAUCCCCUUAGCUCUAAUCUUCAAGAAUCCAAAUCCUAGCUUCAAUUUAGCUCCUAGCCUCCAAUCCCAAGCUUCCUCUUUCUAGCUCCUCUUUUCUCCUCUAGAUCCCCUUUCUCUCCCUACCUUUAUCUCAAAAUGUUUUGGAAAAGUGAGUGAAUGAAGGUAAUGCCAUAAUUUUCUCAUAAGACUAGUGUUUAUAUAGUCACUACACAAAUGGGAUUAGUCCCAAGUUGUCUUAAUGAGCUCAAUAUUCUUACCACCUAAUUCAGCAAAGCUACUACACAUUUAGACCGUCAAAAUAACGAAUAACUACCGUCUCUUAAAUAAUAACCACAACUCACUAGUAACAUAUAAAAUAAUCAUUCCCACUUAAAAUACUAAAAAUAACUCUCGUAAUAAAUAAUUAAAAUAAGGCUAAAAUAUGGUUUUAGUCCCUGCAAAUAUGUCUCGUUUUGGUUUUAUUCUGUGUAAAAAAAAGUUUGUUUUUGGUCCCUGCAAAAUUUUUUGUUUUUUAAAAUAGUCCUUGGAGGGACUAUUUUCAAAAACAAAAUUUUUGACAGGGACCUUUUUAAAAAACAAAAUAUUUUGCAAGGACCAAAAACUACAAAAUGGGUCCAGUCAUCAUGUGCCACGUAUGCAAAUCAUCACAAAAAUGAGGUCAGGGACUAUUUUAAAAAACAAAAAAUUUUGCAGGGACCAAAAACAAUUUUUUUUUAUAGGGACUAAAACCAAAACGAGACAUAUUUGCAGGACUAAAACCAUAUUUUAGCCUUAAAAUAAUUCUAGCGAAAAACGGGCCGAUACAUUUCCAUCCCUUAUUUGCCAAAUAAUGUGCUUUGAAAAUCAUCCCACACUUUACAAAGAGCUUUCCACAAAGGUGAGUCAUAAGGUUGAGAGGUUAUAGAUGUACGCAAAUCAUUAUUCAGUGGUAUUUAAACUUGUGAAAUAAAGAGACUAUUAUCAUUGACUCACCUGGUAACCCAACACCAGUCAAUUUCUCAACCAUCCAUUUAUCUUUAUCCCCACCUCCGUCUUCUAUUUACCCUAAACUUGAGGAGUUCAGAACAUUUAUAUAUGAUAAGGUGAAGAAUUUGUUGGAUGAGAGAUCUCAAAUUGAUACUAUCAAGAAAAUGAUAAAAAAAAGGAUGAAUUGAGAAUCAAGGUAGAUGAUUUUCUGCUGAAAAUGAAUUAGGAAACUAGAAGAGAGAAAGUGAAAGCUAACAAGGAUGAUUUUAGAGCAUGGUUCUCUGAACUCUGCUCAAGAAUAUAGAGUUAAUUGACCGGAGAAGGAAUUUACAGUGUCAUCUUCCAGCUCUUUCUGAAGACAUGCUAGAACCCUACAUCUUCUCUAUAUUAGUGUCUAACACUCCAUUCUUUCAUCUGAAGCUAGAUCUCUUUGAACUUCAUAUCGUUCUAUCUGAUCCUAUACUACAAGACUUUGUGUAUGUUGUUGAAUUUCAUAAGUUCCUAGAUGAUUUAUGAACUCAAUUGGAUUCUUAGCAUGCUAUUCGACUUCAAAUGCACAAUCGACUUCAAGGUAAAUCAGAAAAACAAGCUACAAUAAAGACUCGACUCAAUGUAGUUUAGCAGCUUUUGAUGAACUUAACUUCUAAACUACCUUAGGAAACACUUUUGUUAUUCUUUGCACUUUUAUCACUUGUAUUUUUUUCGCACUCUCUUUUAAUAAAUAAGUUGUUGUUUUUGUUGACGUCAAAAGAUGGAAAAGAAGUAUAUAUGCAUAUCUAUGUUAUUUUAUCUGCUAAAAUUGUUGAAUAUUAUGAUUAUGGAGAUUUCUUUGCUUUAAUUUAUAUUUGUUUUAAUUAACAUGGCUUAGACUUAUGAGGAGCAUACAAACAUCAUCCUUUGUUGAGUUACGUUAAAUAACAAGGACAAUUGUUCUUCCAAAUACAUAAGUUUGCCAUCAUCAAAAUGGGGGAGAUUGUUGAACCAAGACGGGUUUUAUAAAUAUCUCUAAGGUUUGAUGAUAUUAAUGUAUAGAAGAACAAUUGACUACUUUAAAGUUUGUUCAAUUGGGUAGGACUAUAGAAUUAAAAUUUGACUCUAAAGUUAACAUUCUGGCCUUGAAAGUCAAUGAUCUAAACAAAGAAGAAGAACUUUGAUGGUCAAGAGAAGCUCUAAAUGAGUAUUCAUCAUGUUGUGAAGAAGACGCUAUAAUAUCAAGAAUCAAAUCAGUGGUCAACACUUUGAUAAACAUCUAACUCAGUUUUGUCUUCUUUUAAAGUAACAACACUCCACAAGUUCAAUAGUACUUUUGUCCUUGGUGAGUUGAAAGAAGACAUGUUGCAGCAAUGAACAAAUCUUUGUGAGAGACAAAACGUAAGCAACAGAUAAUUCCCAAAUAAGUAAAUAAAUUCUAAAGUACUAUUCAACGGAAAAAUUCAUAAAUGACAAAGGAUUUGGAAUCGGAAGAAACUUCUCAAGGAAGCUUGAUAUGUUGGAAAACUCUUCAAACAACAGCUCUAUUCAAAUCUCCUAUUAAAGAACAUUGAGUGUAUGAAGAUAUUAUGAGAAAUACAUGCUAUUAAUUAUCCCAAAACUCGCCAAGCUUAGUAACGCAAGCUUGUGACCUAAGUAGGGGCAUUAAGAUGUUGGAAGGUCUUUGAUGUGUGGAAAAAAAAAAUUAAAAAAAAAACAAAAAAAAAAAAAACUAUCCCAAAACUCUAAUCAAUUAUUAGCACAAUAAUACUUUGAAAAAUUCUUAUUAACUUUUGAUCUUAGAAUUUCUUAUGUGUUUAGAAAUAUUCUUUAGAUACAAAAUCAUGUCCCGUGCUUAAAUUUAUUUACUACUUUUUGAGUCUGAAGUGUAAACAAAGAACGAAAUCCUGUAAAUUCUUAAUAUUGUUGUGUUGAAGGAAGUCCUUUAUGAGAGGCAAAAUAUCUUAGAUGUGGUGUCUAAGUGCUUUUUUAAUCAUCUGUUUAAUACUCUUGGGAAUUUCUACGGUACACUCACAAAAUGAGGUGUACCGGUACUCUUACUUUAUAAUUUUAUAAAUUAACGAUCAUUUUUAUGUAAUAAAUAGUUAUUUAUCAAUAUUUAUAUUUUAUAGAACAUCAAUUCAUAAGAAAAAAACAUCAUUUCAUUGUUUAUACGAAUCAUAGUAAUUGUUUAUUUUGUUGACACUUUUGAUGAAUAAAUUAAAUUUAGUUAUUACAAUUAUACAUGAUACAAAAUUAAUAUUUUUCUUCAAAAAUCAACUCAUUUAACUAUUAAUUUAAAGAGUAAUUGUAUCAGUGCACCCAAAUAUAUUGGGUGUACUAUAGAAUUUGCCGAUAUUCAUAUCCCCUAAUUUGUUUAAGAAAAUAUUUUUAGAAAAAGCAAAUACAAUUUACCCCUGUUUGAUUGAUGUGUUUUUCUCAUUUUCAUUGAUAACGAGAACCUCUUAUUUAAUAGGCAUUAACAAACAAUAUUUAUUCAUUCAAAUUGAUAGAGUACAUUGGUACAAUAUAAAUUCAAAUUCGUUAAAAACAAAAAGCAUGAAUAUGUGAACAAACUCACAACAUCCAUGUUAAUAGUAUAAAAUGGAAAAGUACUUAUGCCAAUAAAUAUGACUAUAUUCAUGUAUCCGGAAUACUCAUGUCUUCGGAUCUGGAACGUUGACGACGCCAAAUUAAAGUCAUUGUCAUUGAUCGGAUUCUGCACUUACUCAAAGCUAAUCUUUCAAAUAAACACUGCACUAAGAGAGGAAAUAAAAAACACACUGCACAAAGACGGGAAAUCAAAACAAACGAAAGAAAAUAGAAAAUAUGUGAAAUCACCUAUUCAAUUAGGAUAAAAAGAAAAACAAUUUGGAGGGGUAAUUUCACAAAGAUCAAGAAAAGGUGAAAGUGUAAUUAAUAUGUUCAUUUUAUGUGGGAAUAUUACUAAAUUGUCCUUGUUUGUAGUGUAUUCAAAUUUGACUUUUUUAUAUUCCAAGAUAAAUUAGUAGUAUUAAUUAGGGUUAUGUUAGGAAAAAAAUAAUAAUGUAUUUAGAAAAUUGAAAGAGAGGUUAUAUUUAAGGACAAAAAAUUUUUCUCAAUAGAUGCUUAUAACUAGGGACGUAGGGAGUAAUUGGUCUUUGUAUUGAUCUAGAAUAAACAUUGCUAACAGCCUAACCCUGUAGUGUACGGUCCACCGAAAACAUUGUAUUAUUUAAAUUAAUUAAGAAUGUACUUUUAAUUAAGGUCUUCUUUUUCCCUCAAAAAAAAAAAAUUAAGGUCUUCUUUUCUUGCCUAUCUUUUGGUUUUGCUUAAUAGCUUUUGCCGUAAGAGUAAAAACUCAAAAGUCGUUUUAGUUACCAGUGCUCGUGAAUCCUUCGGUGUAACAAAAAAAAAUACAUAAAAGAUUCAAGCAGUACAACAGCCUUAGACAUUUGCUAAGAAAACAUAUCUGUCAUAUUUUGUUUACAUACUAAAACGAAAUUUACUAUUUUAUCCUUUCUUAAACAUAUUUUAAAUAAAUAGAUUUUAAUUUCUUUUUUUAUCAAAAGCGAUGUAGAUAAUUAACUUAAUCUUUAAUGUUUAAAGUGGUGAACAGACACACAUACAUACUAGCGUUUAGACACGUACCCGUUUAUCCGCUCUUUAUAUUAAACACCCGAGUCAUUCUUUUAUAAAGCAGGGAGUAAGGAAAACUUAAACAACCUACCAAACACUAGGGAAGUUGUUUUAUCUUGCAGACAUUACUGAAAAAUUAGAGUUUCAAACAUGAAUACCACAAAUAAUGGUGACCGAUUGAAUGGUGCAGCUGAAGCAGGUGAUAUAGAUCUCCUUUAUACAGUAAUUCAAGAUGAUCCAUUCAUUUUGGAGAUGAUAGAUUUAAUACCAUUUGUUGAAACUCCUUUGCAUAUUGCUGCAUCUAUGGGUCAUCUCCAAUUUGCCUCCGAGAUUAUGAAGUUAAAACCUUCAUUUGCUUGGAAGCUAAAUCAACAAGGAUUCAGUCCUAUCCAUCUUGCUAUGCAAAACAACCAAAACAGUAUGGUUACUCGCUUUGUGAACUUCAAUAAGGACCUUGUUAGAGUUGAAGGAAGAAAUGGCAUAACUCCUCUUCAUUUUGCAAGUCAAAUUGGCGAGGUUGAACUUUUAGCUAAUUUUCUCUUUGCUUGUCCGGAAUCUAUUGAAUACUUGACUGUGAGGUUUGAGACUGCAUUGCAUAUUGCUGUCAUGAAUGAACAGUAUGAGGCCCUUCAAGUGCUUCUCGGCUGGCUCAAAACAAAUAAACAAAGAGGUGCUGAUUUGCUGAAAUAUAAAAUACUAAACCAGGAGGAUGAGAAUGGCAAUACUAUCUUUCACAUUUCAGCGCUAUAUAGUGAGCCACAGGUAAUAGUUUUUUUUAUUUGAAGAACAGGAAAGAAAACUUAUAAAUUAGACAAAUGGUUUGGAUCUAGUGCACUAAUGUUGUUGAUUUUAUAGUUGCUAAUAUGAAUUAUCUCUGACAACAGCUUUUUUUUCAUUAAUUUCUUGGUAGCGCAGGCGCUUCAAUUGUUGAUAAAGACUUUUUGUCAAAAAAAUAAAUUUUUGAAAAAGACUAGGAUAAAUUUGUGCGCCAAGAACUUGGAAAACAAAACAUCAUUAGACAUGGCAGUGACUAGAGAGAUCAAGAGUAUAUUAUCAAGUGUUGGAGCAAAACCUGGCUUGGAAGUCACCAAUGCACCCACACUUGCACAUAAAUUGAAAUCAAAUACUACGUUGAUGAGUAGUAUGUUCCUUUAUAUAGUCGGCCUUAGAAACGAUAUAUCAGAGGAGCAACGCAACACUUGGUUGAUAGUUGCGACUCUUGUUGCAACUGCCACCUUUCAAUCAGCAAUGUCUCCACCAGGUGGAGUUUAUCAGGUUAAUGCUAGUGACAGUAGUUUGAACAUCACGUCCACCAAUUCUACUAUUUCUACCGGGUGGAGUUUAUGGGGAAAUACUGGGAAAUCGGUCUUGCCAGGAGCUUAUUUCGAUAUAUUUGUAUAUCUGAAUAUGCUUUCUUUUUCCCUAUCAACUAUAACAAUAUAUAUUCUGAUCCCAACUGGUGGAAGAUUAGGCACGCUAGUAUUCUAUCCAGUGACUUCAUUUGUGGGUUGUUAUCUCUUUUAUUUCAUCGUGAUAGCACCUACAGUUGUUCACAUCUUUUCGGUUUUAUUUCUGGCAUGUUGGCUUGUAACAUUAUUAUAUGUCUCUCUAAUUGAUUUCGGUGCAGCGUUAAGAAACUGAAUAGAUCAUAACAUUGUUUCAAUAAUGGAAACGCGAAUCAAAGGUUAUUGUCACAAGAUAAAUGAUGGUACGAAUGCUAAUGAGAUCUGCAACUCAAAACCACUUCUGGCCAAAUAAACAAACAACAAUAUAUCAACGUUGGUUUGCAAUUUACCUUGUCAUUGUUAUCAUUGUUUCGGGGCAAGGUGCUUUAUGUUCAGUUCUUUUCUGCUGUUUCUUGAGGUUUGGGGUUUUCCUUCGGGUGUUUUAUUUUUGCUGGCUUGUAUGGCCAGUAUUAUGCCUUUCUGUGCUCCUGCCGUGUUACACAGGGAGAGUUUUGUAAGAAAUAGAAUAUAAAAUGGGUAUGUGACCAUAGCUUAACUUUAACCAACUCCAAACCAAUACUAAAAUAUUAGUAUAUCUUUUUGAUUAAUUAAACAUGUGUCAUAAAUUCGUUCGAACUCCUUACACGAAUUCUUAAGAAUAAUUUCCUGGAUUGCAUUGUUAUCAACAUUUAUUAGUGCUGCAACUUCACUACAUAUACAGGUAAAUUAUGCAUUCUAGCGUCCUAUGAACGAUUGUCAAACAAUCUAAUAUAAAAAUUGGUUAGGCCACCUUAUUCGACAUGAUCCCUAACCUAGCCAAACUUUUUGCCAACUCAUUAUGUUCAUUAAUCAUAUUUUGUAAGUUAUCAACCAAAUACACAUCAAGUUCUUGGCCAUCAACUUUUGACGUAGAAUGAGAUCUUUACCUUACAUGUUAAAAUAGAUUAAUUUGAAUAAUAACUUAAAUACCAAAGUAUCUUUAAAAAAGUUUGAACCUGAAAUGCUUCACCUCAUUCAAUCAUUAGACUCGCUUUAUGUAUCAUGCUUUAUGUAUCAUACAUAUACAAUUGUACAAAUUUUGACGUAGAAUGAGAAGAGGUCCAUUUCUGCAGCAGAUUUCUAUCUUUUGAUCGACCGGAUGCUUGCACAUGGAACUAAUUACCCACAUAUAUAUAUGCAUUGAUUUAUGUUAUCUCAUUUAACUUUUUCAUUAUGGAUACAUGAUAUCUAAUUUUUUUUUAAUAUGAUAACUGGUGAUUAAGUGCGUGAAAUGAGAAAAAAUGGUUCAAAUGAUUCAUUCAUUAAAUAAGGUAUGUGGUCAAUAAUAAAGAUCAUAUUCAUCGUUGAUUGAAUAAAUUUAAAAUGUAAAUUUUCGCUUAUAAUAAUGAGCAGAGGGUGUAUGGUUUGACUUACUGAUUUUGAAACCAUUUUUUUUCCUAGCCAUAAUUAUUAAAAUAUUGAAUAAAUUACUUUAAUAACAAAGCAAAAACUCAAACUUUUCUUUCUCUUUCAUUCGUCGAGAAGGGGUGGUUUUAGGUCAUUUUUUGACCUAUAAUCACUCCUCUGCAUCCAUUUUCCUCUUUUUUUUUCAAUCUAAAUAGGUUAUUUCCACAUAAGUGUUUUCUUUUGUGUUUUCUCAUGAUUUCAUCGUCUAAGUGCGGUGUUGUAUUGUUCGUCGUCUUGUUGACAUUGUUUGAUUUUGCGUCUUGUUGCGGUGUUCGUUUGGUUCAUAUUGAAAGAUCAGCUUGAGUCAAUCACAUAUUCAAUCCAUGAUUUGGACACCAACGUUACAAAUCCGGAGGCAUGGGUAUUCUGGUGAUUUAAUUUCAUCAUAUUUUUUGUAGGCAUUUUGCUGUUAUAUGCUAUUAACUUGGGUGAUGUGAGUUUGUUCGCAGAUUCAUUCUUUAUGUUUUUAGCAAUGUUGAUUCUAAUGUAUUUUAUCAAUUUGAAUGAAUGAAUAUCAUUUUAUUUUGUCAAAAAAAAAGAAAAAAGAAAAAACUAAUGAUGAAAAAGAAAUAAUAAAGGUAACGAACUAAUCUACAUACAUUACCUUGCAAAAUGAAUCACAAGUGACAAAAUUAUUUAGUGAACCGCAUUUUUAAUCAUUUUUCUUUCAACCGCUUGUCUUACCAUUUUACUAUCUAUUUAAUCUAUUUUCAAUUUUAAUAUCGCAUUUUUUAUAUUAAUUUAUAUUAAUAUUAAUAUAUCAUUUGAACAAAACAUGAUAUGAAAAUGGUGAAGAUAUUCCUCUCAAAAAAAAUGAAGAUAUUUAUCGUAGUAUAAAUAGAUAUUAAAAUUGAUAUAUUGAUAUAAAUUGAUAUUUUCAAUUUAAAAAUGAGUAUCCCUACCCAUAAACCAAAAUAAAUAAGUAUCCACCAUUAUUAGCAAAAUAAAGAUACGGUUAGUUUGUCCCAAAAAAAAAUGAUUACGGUUAGCUAAAGAAAUGAAUAAAAAUAAAGAAAUAGUACAAUGAAUUCAUAAUGUUGCCAAAUUAAUAUGAUGGCAAUGCGAUUUCAUAGUCAAGAUUGUACAAUAAGUUUACAUUAAGUUUUACUCCCUCCGUCCCAAAUUGUAUGAUGUUUUGGGCAUUUCACACAUAUUAAGAAAUACAAUUAAUAUUGUGUAGAAAAGAGAUAUUAUGAGUUAUUUUACAAAAUUGUCCUUAAUAAAUAAUAUGGAAAAGAUAAAUGAAAGAAUUGAAAGAAAAGAAAGUAAUAAAUAACUAAGGUUAUAAUAGGAAAAGUAACAUUAUGUUGCAUUGGUAUUGUAAAGCGACAUAUAAUUUAGAACAAAUAUUUUUCCCUAAAGCAACAUACAAUUUGGGACGGUGGGAGUAACUAAUAUAAUUGCCGCAAUAUAGUUAAGAACAUGUAAAAAAUACAGACUCUAGAUUUGCUAAACUAUGUUCCUGGUUAUCUACUCAUAGAACUUAUUGUCAAAGAGCUACAAUGAAAACCAUUAAAAAAAAUUCCGCAACCUCGUAAUCUUUCUUAAUCUCUAAUUUAAUAUCAACAUUCAAAUAGAAAAUUACAUAAAUUUGUUAUUUUGAUUUCAUUCCAUAUAUCAGAAUACAAAAACAAACAUGGAAAAAUCAUUAGAAUUUGUAACUUAGCAUUAAGAAUUAACCUAGAUCAAAAUGUAGGAGUAAAAACAUAUGACCAUCUUUGUAAAAAAAAAAGAAAAAACUUGUAAAAUUGUGAAUCCUAGCAAAACUUUUGAUGAUCGUCUUCACACAACAUAUUGUGCUCCUUUUGUGGUCGCCUCUCUAAAAAAAUUAGAGUGAUAGCUAUAGUGACAUGAACAACUCCUUAAGUCCAUCAGUCUUUAUUCCUCGAUCAUGAACAGGUUUACAAAAUGAAGUGGGUAUCUCUUCACCGGCUCCGGUCAGUUGCGCAGAAAGCAAGCAACGGUGGUACAAGCAACAAGUGGCUCCUUGUGCAGGAAUGGCGAUACAUGCAAAGUAAAAAGCUUCCGCUCUAGGGGAGCACGUUAAAGUGAUGGACUCACACUUGAAGGGGAGUGUUGGUUUGCAAGUGUGAGUUAUAAGUCUCACAUCGGAUAAAAUAGUAAAAGUUAAACACCUUAUAAGUAGGAGGACCCAUAAACUCAUUGCCUUAAGAUUUUGGGUAAGAGUGUGGUGUCUUUUUUGCUUAUGCGGAUGUUCUAGCCUGGAUCUUCUUCCCAUCCACCACACAAAUUAUAUCACUAAUAAAAAUGGCGACAAAGAAUUUGAUGAAGACAUUAAUAAAGAUGACAACAAAUUGUAAUCAACAUACUUUGUUUAGGAUUUACUUCUUGAAUGAUUGUACUCAAAAUACUUCGAAUUAACUCUUUAUAUUGUGAAUAUUUUGUUGUUUAAUUUUGAUUCUAAUUUUUGUAUUACAAUUUAUACUUCAAAAAAUAUGAUUUUUUUAUCAAACAAAUAAGUAAAAAAGAUUCUUUAUAUGCCAAUUUUCUACUUUUGUUUUAUAUCUCGGUUCCUGCGGCGGUUAUCAUUUUCAUGCCGAUUUUCCUGCAGUAUUCGUUGUGGAAGUAGCUGCGAUUUUGUUUGCAGAAAACGUGACAUGGGCAGAAAAGCUCACCCAACUCUGACCGAAAGUUUCAUGCGGAUUUUUGUCACAUUUCCUAACGAAAUUUCGGCAGUAAGUUUCCUGCGAAUCAUAAAAUACUCAUGAAACAAUUACCCACGAUUGUAUUAACUAAAAACCUUAAUCCUUGGCAAAAUCCGUAGGAAAAAGAUUUCCCUUUAGAAUUUUCAGCAAAAUCAGCAGGAAAUUCCGCAAGAAAAUCAAGAGUUUUUAGUAGUGAUUAAAAUAAUAUAAGUGAUUUUUUAGUUAAAAAAAAUAUCAUUUUCUUAAAAACAUCCCAAAGAAACAGGUGAUUAGUUUUCAAGUCGACUAUUCUUUAACUUAACUACAUUGAAGAAGCAAGUUGAAUGUAUAAAAAAAAAAAGAUUAAUAAAUUUCCUACGACAUUUUUUAAGGACCUUAACUAAUAAGCUUUUAUAAAAAUAAAAAAAAGUAUGUAAUAUGCAUUGAAAAUUGAAGUAUUUAAAUUUUUUAGUUAAUAAUUUCUUAAUUUAGAAUCCUUAAAGAGUGUCUCAGGAACAUAGUCUUUAUAUCACUUCCAAAAACAUAGCCUUUUUACUUUUUGUUUUUUGACAAAAAUCUAAAUAUUUAGUUAUAAAGUAAUUACCAAUAAAAAAACACUUGCAUUGCAUCUGAUUCCCCAAUUGCAACAUAACUCAUCCUCCCAACAAACUAUUUUUGUGUCUCCUGACAAAAACAAAUUAUUUUUCCUAGCAAAAUUAUAAUCGGAAAAAACUUCUACGUACAAAAUUGUGUUUCCUAGCAAUUAGGACCAAAAUUGUGUUAUUUUCAUUACUAGUGUGAAGUUAAAUUUGAUGUUGUGGCAUUGCUAAUUAGGACCAAAACUUUCUUUUAACGAUACUUAGGACCAAUUUGUAUUAGUUUCAUUAUCAAAUUAAAACUCAUAUCAAUAUUCCUGGUACAACUGAGUUAUGCUCAUCAUUAAAUGUAAUUUCAGAUCUAAUGAAUAUGAAAUGUCACAAAUUGAGUUGUGAGGAAAAAUAUGCCACAAAUGAAUAUUACCAUUUUUCAGUUAAAAUAGUGAAGCCAAUUAAAAUUGAAUUUAAGAUUAAAUUCACUUUUGGAUUAUUUACUAAUUACCUAUCAUAUUUGUUUAUGUUCUCGUGAGCAUAGCUUAACUGGUUUAAACAAUGCAUAAUAUAUGAAAGGUCCGGGGUUCGAACCUCGACCACCACAAAAAAAAAAAAAAAAAAUCAUAUUUGUUUAUUCAUGUGUGCAAACAACCAUAUAUUUUGGUUUCGGCUUAAUAAACAGUCGAUCCUUAACUUAAUUCUUUGUUUUAAAAUGGUUUCAUAACUAUAAAAAUUAGUAAAUUGGUCCCUUAUCUAAAUUGUCCUUAAUUAUAUCUAAAUGUUAUUCAUAUCCACGAGUUCAAAAUUUUGUCCAUGUGAACGUCAGGAUUGAGUUUGGUAUUUGUCAUUACUCAUGUCAGCGAUUUUCACUAGUUUUGAUUAAGUAAACUAAAAUAACCAACACGAUAAAGAGUGAAGGAUAAAAAUGGUUGUUUUUCCAAUAAUAUUUGAUGCUAAGGAACCUUUAAACCAAUUAGAAUAUCUUUAGAGUCCCUUUUAAAGUGAUAAGUAUAUUUGCAAAUCUGGAGCACAUAUAUCACGAUUUUCUAUCGUUAUUUGCAUGGAUAUAACACAUAUAUUUUGCUCUUAACAUAGCCAUACAUUGUGAAUGUAAUUGAUAAUGUAAAUGAUGUUUUUGGAGGUAAACAAGAAAGAUGCUAAACCUCAAAGCAAAAACAACCGUGUUUCGAUUUGUGAACUUGACAAAUAUUAUACGCAAAGAUAUAUUGUUUUUUUCUUAACAGCAAAUUUUAUUUAUAAGCUAACCCAACACAAGAAGUGAAGAGGCUAUAGGAAACAUACGAGAUGAAAGAUACAUAAAGACAAUUAAACCAAGGCUAAAAAGCCACAACAUAAAACCACCAAAACAACCCUUAAUACAAUAGAAAACAAUUACUUAGUAGAUAUUGAUAUGUCUUGUUGCAUUGAUGUUUCAGAAAUGUGUGGGUGGAGGGCAAUUUUUGUAUCGGUACUUCCCGAGUCGCUCCGAGCAGGGAUCGAAUGGGGUGGUCGGUUUUGGGGGCUUUAUUUUUCCGAUAAUUCUUCCAAUUCCGGGGGUCAAGGUAAAAGCAUCAGCAGAAUGAUGAUGAGCAAGCAUAAGAGCAGCAAGGAAUACCACUAGCAAGGAUAAGAAAAAGGAAUUAGCCACUUUAAGAAGUGAUAUUAUUAUUAGUGUUGGUGCAUAAUACAUAGAGAGUUAACUGGUUUUAUACUAGUUAGAGACUCAAUGUGAGUUUAUGGUCAAUCUAAGUCAUUUACUAAAUUCAAGAAUGUUACACUCAUAGGUACCAUGUAUUUGCUACUUGUUGAUGAUCAGUACCUAUCCUUUCAUUUUCCACACAACAAGACCAUUUAGUAUUAUUGGCUCUAUCUCUCCACUUGUUUGCACACCAAUACGAGGUUUUUUUUUAAAGGAGAAUCAACCAUUUGGAUAAUACAAUAUCCUUAUUUUAUUUAUUUGAAUUUGAAUGGCAACCACCAAGGCCACAUAUAGAAAGAAUAAUUUCCUUAAAAAAAAAGAAUAAUUUCCGACCAAUCGUACAUGAUGUCAUCGACACAACAAAAGAUAGGUUUCAUAAUAUGGCGCCAUAAUAUCCUUAUCCUUGUAAAUAUGAUUAAAAAAAACCUUGUUAAUUAAGUUGUAGGAUUUUUUUAAGUUGGAAAAUAUUAACGAGUAUCUUCAGAACAUUCUUUAAACAUUCAAAGGGGUAAGAUUUUAUGAAAGUUGAGGAUUUAUUUCAUUAGAAAUUGAAGUCUUUACAUUUCUUUUAAAGAAUAGAUUUUUCAUUAUGAUGUUUAAAGAGUGUUCCGGAGACACUUGUUAACAAAACUCUUUAAAGUUUUAGGAUGUAAGAAUUUCCCUAAAACACAUGUUAAAGAUAUGGAUGUCAAUGGGUACGGGUAGCAUGAUAUCCGUCUCUAUACCGUUGGAUAUGGUACUUGUACCUAUACUCAUACUCUUGUAGGUAUCUCUAUACGAGUAAUCCAUGGGUAUUUAAUUAAUUAUUUUUAUCCAAUGGGACCAAAACUACAAAAGGGGUUAAACAUAAGGCGGCUCUAUUGUUAUUGUUUUUAUUAGGGGAUAAAAAUCGCAACAUUUGGAACUUAGAGUGCCAAAACUGUAAUUAAACCUAAACUUUAUAGACAUAAUAUAUUUGAUAAUAACUUUUAAUCGGUCAACCCAAAAAAAAACUUCUAAUUAGUCGGUAUAAUUUUAUCUCUAUACUGAAUAUACUUUAUUCAUUAUUCUCGCCAUAUACUAUUUAAUUAUUAAUCUAUGACAAUAACCACGUACAAAGACUUUAUCUAACAAAGGAAAUCAAUCUUAGAAGAUUCAAUCAUGUGGACAAUACAACAUCCUUAUUGUAUUUGUUACAAAAUGCUUAUGACCGUAUUAUACACAAGAUAUAUAAAACAAAGCAUUAGUAACUUGGACCACUUAUUGGAUAUUUCUUUCUCCACAAUCCAUAUUAUUAUUAAUUACUUUGAUUUUUAUCAAACCAAUCUGAUAACACCACCCUCCCUUUUGCUUAAAAUAUAGUGGUAUUUCAGAUGAGGUGACACGUACACACGGACACCAUGGUUUAAUUUCUUUUGUUUCUUUGUCUACGUUUUCCUUUUUUUUAAUAAUAUUGUUUGCUCUGUGCCUAUAAUUUCAGGUAUGGAUCCUCCCUUACUUAAUUUGAGAAAAAAAUGUUAUUUUUGUGUGACUAAUUUUGAGAAAAAUAACGAAGGCAAAGGGGUGGUCCAGAUUCUCCAAUUUGUUUUGUAUCUGUACAUAUGAAUGUAAUUUAUUUUGUUGAAAUUUGGAAAAUUUCGAAUUUCUUAAAUUUAGAUAGUGUAUAUAGAACCCUAUAAUUUUAAAUUUAAGUCUUAAUCAACAUAUAUCCAAAUAAAAUGUCCAACUCAAUUGUAAUUAAUGUAUAUAUAUUUUUUUAAUAUUCUAUGUUGAAAUAUUUUGAGAAUUAACAUAACAUUAGAAAUAUUGAACCGAAAGACUUAAAAAUUGUAAGCGGAAUAGAACACAUUCACAUUUAUUGUAUAUGUACAAAGUCAAUUUAAUUAUUUUCUCUCUAUCUUCAAAAAAAAAUAGACAAUUAGGUUAUGAAAUAACAAAAAAAGACAACCAUGCCCCUUACAAUAAUAUAUACUUUAUUUGAUAAAAAUAACGGAUAACUAGCAAAUCAUGUUGUAAAAUUUAUUAUUUAGAUUAAAGAAAUGCAUUUUUAAUUUUCAUUUACAAUUUUAAGGGUAAAUAUUGCUUUACCCGGUAUAAUAUAGGUCAUUUUUGGGUUUUCCCUUUGCUAUGUUUUUUUUUUUUUUGUUUUCGUCCUUGUAAUUUUUGUUUUUUAGAAUAUCCCUCUAAUAGGCCAUUUUCAUAAAUUUUUUGUCAUUGUGCUUUAACCCAUUUCUUUCGAUGAAACGGUUGUAACAUCUCACAAACAAGCUUAUCUUUUCUUCAUUGAUAGAACCUUCAUCGGAUUCAUCUUCAUUUUGAAUAGAAGAGGUGGGCAUGGACGAAGUGGUGUUUAACGUAAUUGACUUCCUUUCCUUCUUCUUUGAAUCAUCCUCACUAGAUUUCAACUGGAUAAUUUCAUGCUCAUGUUCCUUUAGUUUACCAAAGAGUGUGAUCAUACUAAGAACAUUGAGAUUUUGUGAUUCCUUGAUAGCGGUAACCUUGGGCUGCCAUUCCCUUGUCAUACAUCUCAAAAUUUUAUUACUGCAAUCUUGGUUUGAAAUGUCAUUACCAAGGUUUUGCAAUUUCUGUACAAUAUGAGUAAAUCUCAUUUGCAUGGAAGAGAUGGAUUCACCAUCCUCCAUGCGAAAAAUUUCAUAUUGUUGUACAAGGGUAUUAAGUUUUGAUUAUUUAGCUUCAUUGGUUCCUUCAUGAAGGGUUUCCAACGCAUCCCACAUAGCCUUAGCGGUCUUUUGGAUUGGAGCUUCAUGAAGGGGACGUAUAAUAGAACACCUAUUAUACAACUCCUUAUGGAUCAACUCUUCUGGUAGUUAGCCAUUAAAGAAGAGACCAACCUCGAUGAUACCACUUGCUGAUCGAUAUGGCCAAUAAGGUUGCACGCUAGAGGGGGGUGAAUAGCGGUUAGAUAAAGUUUUUCGGAGUUUUAACAAAAAAGAUUUGAAUUGAUUUGACUAUUGGAAGCAAGCUUGAACAAUCACAACAAUUUGCAAAAAGAUAAAGCUAUGUGCUAAUAAGAUUCAAUAUAGAAUUGAGAGAUUCACAAAACAAAUCUUAUUACAAUUAAAAGUUAAUGGUUCUUGAACAAUUGGCAAAACUAGACAAUUUCAAAUACAUACCUAUAAGAAAAUAUAACAAGCUAUCAAUUGAUGAGUCUUUUAUUAUCUAUUUUAAUAUGUUAUUUAGUUUCGUUUUAAUUAGAUUUAAGUUUAUUUUAUAUUUAUAUUAUUUCCUUUUUGAACUAUUUUACUUUAAUUCCAUAUUGUUAUAUUUUAGGAACGAAUAUUUGAUGGAUUGAGUCUUGGAGCAAAAGAAAGGGAUUUGGAGUUGAUUCGGUACGAAAAUACGAAGAUUUGGAGACAAAAUAUAUCUCCCCAAAGUCAGAAGCUUGGCACAGCCCGUGCUAGGCUUGGCACGGCCGUGCCACACUCCAUAACUACUUUUGCUGCUUUUGCUUAGAUUUUAAGCUACUCUGUUUUAGUUUACUUGUGGAACAUUCUAGUGAUUGCUUAGAUUUUAAGUCGAAUGUAAACUUUAAAUAGAGUAGCCAUCCAUCACAAAUAUUCAUCUUUUCUUGGAAUGCAAUAUGUGACAAUUGUCUUUCUAAUAAAAGUUCAUUUUACUUUCUUGUUAUUUACUUUUAUGCUUUCUCUCUUCUUCUCCUUGUCUACGAUGAACAUUAGUGAGUAGACUUCUCUUGUCUUGGGAUUGUUGGAUAAGUCUAAUGACAUAAUCCUAAUCAAACCAAGCUUUAAACCUUAAUCUUAUGUAACCCUAAUUCCUUAUCUAAAUUCACCGCUUUAACAUGGAUCAACCAUUAUCAAACUGUGGAAACGAAAGUGGAGGGUUUGAUAAUUGUUUAUCCAUCAUCUCAAAUAUCAAUUCAUAAAACGAAAGUGGAGCUUUGAUAUUCGAACAAGUGAAUUUAGACAAAGAUUGUAAAGGCAGCGAAAUAGUCUUUACAAUCUUUGAGAGAUAUAGUUUCGAUCUUCAAGGGAACUAAUAAUGAUCAAGUCAGCGAAAUAGGCUUGGUUGUUAGAGGAACCAAAAUCUAAUAGUAAUCAAGUCAGCGAAAUAGGCUUGGUUGCUAGAGGAACAAAAGAGAAACUGUCUUGAGAAAUUAGGUCUAACAUAAGGUUAUAAGUUUAAUAGUUUGGUUUGUGAAGGACUUGUCAUUAGGAUGAACCAAUAAUUCCAAGGCUUUUAUCUUUUCUUUUAUUUUCUUUUAAUUAAAAACCCAAACUUUUCUAUCUUAUAAACCUUUAGUCUAAUCAUUAUCUAAAGUUAAUUGAAUUCAUAACUCCCUGUCGGAACGAUACUCUUUUCAUACUACUUCGGUAAGACCGUGCACUUGCAGUUUUAUCUCAUCAUCAAUCAAAAACACAAUGCAUAUGCAGUUGAAGAAUUGAAUAGUAAUUGAAACCAAUUGAUCCAAGCUAAGUACUAAAACCUAAUUCAAAGAAUUAUAUUAAUUUUUAUCAAAAACAACUUAGAUCAAUACAAGUUUGUCCCCUAACAAUUUAUCAAUUAACAUAUGCAACAAUUAAAAGUAAGGUGGGUAAGGAAGAGAGAUAACACCCAUAUUUUUAUAGUAGUUCGUUUUUCGUACUCGCUAGAGCUACGUCUACUCUUCUUUGUUAAAACUCCUCCCACAAGGUCAUCCACUAAUAGUAAAAAUGUUGAAUACAAAUGUGAUUACAAGAGUUCGUUGAAACUAAAAUAGUUCUUCAACGCCUAUGUAAACACUCUUCCAAACUUCAAAUAACCUUUGAAUUUGGUGUUCCUUGAAUCUUCGAAUCCUUAUUUACCUGUGCACCCCUUCGAACUCUUCACUCAAGUCUUCAAUACUACGUCCGGUAAACAAAUCCCCUUCGAUGGCAAGAACAAUUAGAAAGAACCCCUAAACCCUUUGGAGGUGGAAUAAGAUUAUUCAUUUCACUUUGGAACCUUGAUUAAGACCAACCAAUUUCCUUGAGAGAACCAUCUUACAAUCCAUAUAAGCACCCUAGGAAAUCAAUGUGACUCAAUGUACAAAGUGAUUAUAAGAAAAAGUGUUUAAUCUUGAAGAAUUUAUGAACAUUGAGUUUUUGAGUCCUAAAGAGAAUAGAUGUAAAUGACUCAAUAAUUUGGGAGUUAUGAGAAAGUGAGUAUAUAUAGUAAAUGAGUGUAUGUGCAAAUUUUCGUCCAAAAAUAACAAUUUGAAUCGAUUCACUAAGAGCAUGAAUCGAUUCAGAUAUUAGAAAUACAAGCUAGAAGAAUAAUGAAGAUUGAUGUGAUUCAGGCAAAAGCUGAAUCGAUUCAAAUACCCCAUGAUGAAGAUUUAUACGAUUCAGAUUAAAAUGAAUCGAUUCAAUGCAACUCAUAGAGUUUUAUGAUACGAUUCAGAUUUGAAUGACUCGAUUCAGGAGUGAACCGAUUCAGGAUAUAUUGAGUCGAUUCCCGCAAAGUCAGAGAGUUUGCGUGAUACGAUUUAGAUAGCUGUGAAUCGAUUCAUCUGUGCAGAAACAGAAUUUUGAAAGCAAAUGAAGGAAAUUUUGACACACGGGUAAAAAGAACAUUAUGCCACAGAUCACUAAGGUGCUUUAACAAGUUAUAAGUCUAGUUUACAAAGACAGAAACAAUAUGCUAGGAAAGACAAACUUGCAAUUAAAACAUCAUCAAAAUGACGGUUGGAAAAACAAGCUUCAAAUUUCACCAGCCUCAUUUAAUAUGGUCAACAUUAGUUGACUUUUUAUCUUUGCAGGAAUCGAAGUCUUUUUCUUGAACUUGAGGAGUUUUGACGAGAUGUUGGACUUAGCAUGAAAGGGGUCUAAACGCCCUUAGGUUCGACUAGACACGAGUCAGCGAUGCAAAGCUAUCGAAGUCAAGCAACUUCCGUUGAGGCGGGAAGAUUUGAAUUUCAAAGAGAAGCGGUUUCCUCAAAGGAGAACGUGGGAUAAAAACAGUUGUCUCAAUGGAAGAAGUGAUGAUUGUGGGAUUAUGCUUUUGCCGGUUAUUUUCCUAUGUAUAAAUAGUAGUUUUCCAUAGGGAAAAUGGAUCGCAAAUCACCUAUACAGAAUUCUAAAACACUCGAAGCAUUGGUGUGAGAGAAAAGAGUCACAAAGAAUAUAUUUAAAGGAUCUGCUGGACCACCUUUAUAUUUAAUGCAUUGUAUUUUAAUUUUCCUUUGAGUUUAUGCAAUUUAAACUUAAUGUCUUUACCUUGCUUUAAAAACCCUUUUUUCUUUCGAAAGACGUCACACUGUCUCGUCUUGUUCGUAAAGAAACCUAUGAACUCGACGGACACUUCAAAAACAAAUGCACAACAUGUCCUGGGAUUUUUGGUUUGAUCCUACUUGUAAUAACCAAAACAACCCUCGUUGUUUACCAAAAACACCGUAAACAAUAUCAAUCGAUAAAAUUAAUAAUCGACGUUCUCAUAAAAAAACAAUUGAUAGUAAUUUAUUUAUUUUUGGUACAAUAAACCAAACCCCGUAAUUUCAAAUUAUUUAGCACAUAAUUAAUAUAAUUUAAAGUUAUAUACAAGAUAUUAAUUAUUUUGACGAUAGUAAAUUAUCAAAUGAUUUUAUAUCAAUAAUAUUUUUUAGAGUUAAUAAGGUUUUUUUUUUGGUAGAUAGACAAAUUGGCAAAGCCAUUAUAAACUCACACACACAAGUGAAGGUACCGGGGUUCGAACCCCGGUCAUGGCAUCCGGCCUAACAAUUUCGGCAUUUUGCCAGUUGAGCUAGGACUUCUGGAUGAGUUAAUAAGGUUUUACCCCUUGUAAUAUAAGUCAUUUUCGAUUUUACACUCUGUAAAUGUUUUUUUUUAUUUACCCUGCUAAUAGGCCAUUCAAAAAUGAAAAUUUCUGAAAAAUAAAAAUAAAAAUUGGUUUUAGAAUGACCAAUUAGGGGGUAAAUGAAAAAUAUUACAGCGGGAUAAAUAAAAAAAAUUACCGGAUGUAAAACUGGAAAUAACCUAUAUUAGAGGGGGUAAAACCCUAUUAACCGUAACUUUUACAAAAAAUUAAUAAUAAAUUUUAUAGACAUAAUAUAUUUGAUAAUUACUAAUAGUUAGCAACCCCUAGAGAAAAAAAAUACUUGUAAUUAGCCAGAAGAGUUUUAUCGCUAUAGUAUAUAAACACGGAAAGCCACCAUUGAAUAAGGAUCAGGAGAGAGGGCACAAUACAUGGACAAGAGGCGAUUUAAUUCCUUUAGAAAAAAUCUUUGUAUGUGGUUAUUGUUAUAAAGGGAUGGAUUCAUCUCCGGUCCAUGUAUAUUGCUCUCUCUCUCAUGUUCCUUAUCCAAUGGUGGCUAUGAGAUCAUAAAGAAAACAUUUUAUAAUAUUACUCUAGGUGAGAGAGAGAGAGAGUCAACAAGAGAGGAUCCAGAUCCUUUUCUAAAGGAGAAUCAACCAUCUAUCGCUAACAACAAAUUAAAACCCUUCGGGUACAAAAAUAACGACUAAAGUAAAAAUAUAAAUGAAACAUUGAACUGUUUUAUGAAAUUAUAAUAAACUUCAAAGGGUAAAAUUGGUUUUUAGAUAAUCAUAAGGGAUUACCAAGCAGAGUUAUAAGUUAUAAGCUUGUGAUGAAACGACGGUUACCACUUAUAGAACUAACAUAAAAAAAUUAAUAGUGAGGGAUGUCUAAUGAAGAUUGGUAGCUAGUAGUGUUAUGUUGUUCAUGAAGUUACAGUUAUAUAUAAAUAUUGUAAGUGGGUGUUGUUUAUUGAAGAUAGGGAGAUCAAAGGGGAAAUGCUGGAAAAUGAUGAUGGAAAAAUAUAAAUCGAUAUUAUCUUUUAUAAUAGUCCUUAUGAACAUCAAAAUUAAGUUUGGUAUUUUUCAUUAUUCAUGUCGGCGAUUUUUACUAGUUUUGAUUUAAGUAAACGUUUUGAUUGACUUCAAUGACUAAAGUAACUAAGAGAAUAAAGAGUGAAGGAUUUAAUUGGCGUUUUAUUCAAGUCGUGGACCAAAAUUAAAUCAUGUUACACUUCUAAGGAGAAAAAUGGUUGUUUUUCCAAUAAUGUUUUCCAAUAUUAAAUUAAAGUUUAUUUAUGCCUUAGGGAUGUUACCAACCAAUUUGUUGGGUUGGAGUUACCUUUGGUGCUUAAGAACAUUUAGACCAAUAAAAAUAUCUUAGAGUACCUUUUAAAGUGGCAAGUACAUAUAGAGUCAUUGUCAAUUGAUGUUAGUACUAAUCAUGGACUAUUUAUUUGCAAACUUGUUUGUUUUUUAGUAGAUUUUUUUUUAAACAGCAAAUUUUAUUUAUAUGCUAACCCAACACAAGAAGUGAAGAGGCUAGAGGAAAGACACAAGAUAACAGAUACAUAAAGACAGACAACUAAACCAAAGGCCAAAAAGCCACAACACAAAACCACCCAAACAACCCUUAAUACAAUAGAAUCACAGCAGAAAAACCUUAACCAAAUCAAGCAAAUUAAAAACAAUUACUUAGUUGAUAUUUGUAUGCCUUGUCGCGUUGAUGUUUCAGAAAUGUCUAGGUGGAGGGGAAUGGUGGUGGGGGGGAAGGGGGUGAAUGUUUAUAAGGUCGAAAUUUGACUACAGGAGGACGGUAAGGGGGUAAAUGUCCUGGGAACUGGUUGGAUGGAGGUUUGAAUAUUGGAGUGAUAUGAAAGGCAGCAUCAGCAAAAUGUUGAGGACCAAACAUAAGAGCAGCAAGGAAUACCACUAGCAAGGAUAAGAAAAAGGAUUUAGCCAUUUUAAGAAGUGAUAUUAUUAUUAGUGUUGGUGCAUAAUACAUAUGGAGUUAACUGGUUUUAUACUAAUUAGAGACUCAAAGUGAGUUUAUGGUCAAUCAAAGUCAUUUACUAAAUGUCAAAAUUGUGUAUGAAUUGAAUUAUUCAACAAUGUUACAAGGUCCAUGUAUUUGCUACUACUUGAUGAUCCUUUCAUUUUCCACACAACAAGACCAUUUAGUAUUAUUGGCUUUAUCUCUCCGCUUGUUUGCACACCAUAUGGUUGCGCUCCUUAAUUCUGAAAUAUAGAAUGAUUUUAAACUCAUUUUAGAUUCUCCAAAAAUUAAAAUCUCAUUCCUACGACAACAGAAAAUGGAAGAAACACAAGAUUGUUGGUGUAUUGGUAGCUUACAGUCUGUUGGAAAAAUUCAAUAAGCUAGUUUAUAGUUUCUUUUAAAAAGUAUAUGAGUUUAUAGUUUAUUUUAUUAAUUCCUUUUUCACAAUUGCUUACCUGUAAGAUUAAAAAGUAUAUGUUUCACAAUUGCUUUUUCAUCACAGACUUAUAGUUAUUUUAUUAAUUUAUAGCUUAUUUUUUAGAAGUUAUUUCAAAUAGUGUAUGAGCUUAUAAUUUAUUAUUUUUAUUUCACGCUUACCUUUCAUCAAAUGAUGGAACCGCUUUCCGGACCCUGCGUAUACGUGAGCUUCAGUGCACCGGGUUGUCCUUUAUUUCAUGCUUACCUUUAUUAUUUUGUCUCAAAUUUAUUUUUAUCCUUUAUAAUUUGUAAUAAAGAAAAUGCUAAAAUGUUCUAAAAAAUUGAUAAUUAAGUCAUAAAAUAUUUACAUUCUAAAAAUAUUCAUUCCAACUUUGUUUAAAGAUGCAUCUUCAUCAUCAUAUUCUUGUAAAAAAAUCAAACAGUAAAUUUCAAACGGAAAUUCUUAAAAUUCUUCAAAAAUGCUUUUAUUUGUACAAUUCUAAAGAAUUUAACCACUCCUUAAAAAAAAAAUUAACCAUGUGAUGAUCAGUACAUAUCCUUUAAUUUUACACACCAUAAAAUCAUUUAGUAUUAUUGGUACUAUAACAAGGUAAUGAGUGGAAGUUAUUUGCUACUAAUAUUCUUGAAUUAAGAUUUAGAAAAACCGUACUCCAAGAGCAUGAUAAAUUUUGCAAAUCUAUUCAAAAAAGAGUAUUGACGAGUUUUACAUUUACACGCUCCUUGAACAUUCAUCAAUAUAUCAUCAACAAAACCAAUAUGUAAAUACUACUCCGUCCCUAAAUAUAUAGGAGUCUUUUGUAAAAAUUACGGAGAUUAAGAAAGUUAGUUUUAGUAUUAAAUUUGAAUAUAAUUACUAUUGUUUUUACGAUUUUAUCCUUAAGAGAGAGUUAAUUUAUGUUUUCAACAUAAUAUUUAUUUUUGAUUGAAGAAAAAGAUGCAAAAUAAAUAAAGGUAUGUUACUAAAUAAAUAAUUAAUGUACUAGGGACGGAGGUAGUAUUAGAUAAGGAACAUGAAUAUUUGGGAGGAAAAAUUCUUUGCAUAAGAGGAUCGUCUUAAACAACAAACUGAAAUUAAAAAUACUUGCAAUUGCGGAAGUCUUAAACAACAAACUGAAAUCAUAUCACGAAUAUUAUUAAGUUAUGGACCAAUUUGUAUGCAACAGUUAACCACCAACUACUGCAAGAAAAUAUCAUAUUAGCUACCAAAAUCUAGCUACGGUCUAUUGCUCUAGUUAAUUUGUCUUUAAUUAGCUUUGCUCUUACUACAAGUGAAGUUUGCUAGCUGAUGCUUACACUUGUUCGUUUUUUUUUUUUUUUUGAUUGUACCCAAAUAAAACUAUUUAGCAUCACUGCAAAUGCAUUUUUUUUCAAUUCUUUUGUUUAUGCAAUUUAGAUUCACUCUUGUGGAAUCUAUAAUGUGGACUCUAUAAUAUAUAUUGUUGAUGUUAAUAUUUUUAAAAUUUUAUUUUCAAAUGAGCGUUCAAAUAUACUGAUGCUAAAAUUUUGUAAAUUUUAAUUCUACAAAAAGCAUGCAUGAAUACUUAUGCAAAAAAAAUUACUCAUUUUUUUCUUUAUUUAUUUUGACAAAAUUUCAUUUUCCCCCAUUUAUCUUCUUUCCCACAAUUUUUUUAACACUUCCCGAAAUCUUUUUCCCACUAAUAUUUUAUUUUCCUUUUUCUUUUUACAACAAUUCAUUUCCUCAUCGAACAAAAAGGGAAAACUCAAGAUGUGAAAAAUCAAUAUGAGAAAGCCAUUUUCUCAAUGUGAGUUUAUGGUCAAUAUAAGUCAUUUACUAAAUUCAACAAUGCUACACUCAUAGGUACCAUGUAGUAUUUGCUAGUUAUUGAUGAUCAGUAGCUAUCCUUUCAUUUUCCACACAACAAGACCAUUUAGUAUUAUUGGCUUUAUCUCUCCACUUGUUUGUGCACCAUGGUUGCACUCAUUAAUUCUGAAUUAUUAUAGAAUGAUUUUAAACUCAUUUUAGGUCCUCCAAAAAUUAAAAUACUCAUUCCUACGACAACACAAAAUGCAAGAAACACAAGAUUGUUGGUGUAUUAUAAGCCUGUAAGAUUAUACCGUAUAUGUUUCACAAUUGCUUUUUCAUCACAAGUUUAUAGUUUAUUUUAUUUGAAGUUAUUACAAAUAGUGUAUGAGCUUAUAAUUUUUUUUUUUUAUUUCAUGCUUACCUUUAUUAUUUUGUUUCAAAUUUAUUUUUAUCCUUUAUAAUUUGAAAUAAAGAAAAUACUAAAAUGUUCUAAAAAAUUGAUGAUUAAGUCAUAAAAUAUUUACAUUCUAAAAAUAUUAAUUCCAACUUUGUUUAAAGAUGCAUCUUCAUCAUCAUAUUCUUGUAAAAAAAAUCAAACAGUAAAUUUUAAAUUGAAAUUCUUAAAAUUCUUCAAAAAUGCCUUUAAUUUUCCACACCACAAAACCAUUUAGUAUUAUUGGUGCUAUGAAAAGGUAAUGAGUGGAAGUUAUUUGCUACUAAUAUUCUUGAAUAGAUUUAGCAAAACCGUACUCCAAGAGCAUGAUAAAUUUUGCAGACGGUGAAAAUUUAUUGUGACAAUAAACUAUUUAAAAAAGAGUAUUGACGAGUUUAACAUUUACACUGUAUAAACCCAAAUAUGCAAAAACCCAUAUACUUCUUGAACAUAUCAAGAAAACCAAGAUGUAAAUAUUAGAUAAGGAACAUAAAUACGUCGGAUGAAAAUUUCUUUGCAUAAGUGGAUCGUAAUAAAAAUUAACAAUAAGUUCUUAAAUACAUGCUUCUGAAAGUCUGAAAUACAAUAAAUACAAUAUGCUCUUAAAUUAACAAUAUCAUAGAAAGUCUGAAACUAAAAAUUGCGGAAGUCUUAAACAACAAACUGAAAUCAUAUCAGAAAUAUUAAGUUAUGGAACCAAUUUGUAUGUAAUAGUGAACCACCAACCAUUACAAGAAAAUAUCAUAUUAGCUACCAAAAUCUAGCUACGGUCUAUUGCUCUAGUUAAUUUGUCUUUAAUUAACUUUGCUCUUACUGCAAGUGCAAUUUGACUGGCUGAUGCUUACACUUGUUCGUUAUUGUAUAAAAAAAUUAAAACAAAUUGUAAUGUCUUCUGAUGCCUUUUGGAUCUUCAUUGAUGGUAUUUCCUAGUUCUUCACAAGUCUUUAAGAUGUUCUGCUUUGCGUAUUUGCAUAAUUUCUUCUUGAAUUAUAUAAAAACUAGAAUUACAUGAGUCAAACAGAAAACAUUACAAAUAUCCCAAAAACCAUAGGAAAUUGUUCUAAUACUCCAUUCUGGAUUAAAACUAAUUGAAAAUGACUGGAAAAACAUGCCAAGAAUAACGUAAGAUGAUAUGUUAUCACAACCUCAAACUUAAACUGUUGUUUGUCGGCAAGUAACGAACGAAAAUAAAUUUUAAUUUUGCAUAUUUUUCAAGAAAAACAUAUCUUUUCAAAGAGGUUGCUCAGAUCGUCUUCUCGUCUCAUUUACAGACUUGACUAACUUACACCUUCCAUGAAAGCGCGACAGAAUUAGAGAAUAUAGCCCAUACUCUCAACCACACUCUUAUCCAUGAUACAUGCAUGUAUCACACAAACUCGGUAGGGUUGGUCACGAUAUUUGUCCACUCUAGUCGUCACAUGAAUGUAUCUUGAUGUAAAUUUGAGAGAACUCUAAACAGACAGUCAAGAUCAUACUAUAUACAAAGUAUUAGUUCUUUCAAGGUUAUAACGUAUCUUAGGUUAAGGUGAGAUAUAUUAGAAAAGUAGGCUAACAAAACAACUUGAAGUUAGAUUAUCAACCUGAGGUUUCCUACUAAACAUUGAAGUACUACUAACAUUCCUUCCUUAAACCAAACAAGAUGGGUAUUAAAUAGAACUAUUUAUCUUUUCCUACAUUUGUUUUAAAAGACCAAAAUAUUUGAUGUUUUUAGCUCUUGAUUUUUUCUUUUUUCUAUUUUUUUAUGUAGACCCAUGGUUAUCAACAUUUUUUCAUUUUUUUUCUUUGUGAUAUAAAUAAGUUCUCUGGUAGCCCUUCCUCAAAAAGAAAUCCAAGUUUAGUUUCAAAUCAUACCAAAUUAUUAAAAAUAUUAUAUCUAACUCCAAGAGAAAUCAAAUAGAUGACUUUAAGGAUCAAAACACCCACAACGAGCCGGUAAUAACACAACGCCUAAAACUGAAAAAAAACAAUGCGUCGAAACUCGUUAAGACAACCGUUAGUCUAAUUGGCUAUAUAAGCCUUAAGGUACUAUUAGACAUAACAAUUCUUUCUUAAUAAAUAUUAUUUUCAUUUCACUUUUUCUAUAUUUUGUUUUCAUUUAUGAGUUCCAUCAAGAAUUGUGAUAAUGUGUCACUUGAAAAAAAGAUAGACUAAUGUCACUUAUGAGUUCUAUCAUGAAUUGUAAUAAUGUGUCACUUUUAUAUACAUAUGUUUCAGUAUGGACGGACUGAAGUCAAACACACGUUAGUACUUAGCCAAAAAGCUCGACAAAGUUUCUGGUAACAUAUUUAAUUAAAAUUCAAUAUAAAUAAAAGUGUGAAAAAGCUACUCAACCGUACAAGUUGCCUUUGCAUCCCAGUGCAACUGACACAAAUGUGGUAGCCUCGGUUAGGCUACUAAUACAAUGUGUUAGUUUACAUCAAAAUAUAUAUUCUUUUUAUCAGCAAAUAAAAUUAACAACAGUCCGAGCGCAAUAACCCGAAAGACUUACAGGUACGAGUGAGAAGGAAAAGCAUGCAGAAAACGACUUCUAUUAGUUCGACAGUUUCGUCAAAGGGUGCAGUGAAUGAAUUUGUAUGAGAUGAUGGGUUAGGGUUCUAUUGAGAAGAAUUUCUGGGUGGAGAUGAGAGGGUUCAGUGAGAAGUUGAGAUGAUGGCAUAUGGUUUGAAGGGUUCGGAGUAGAGAAGUUAAAAUUUGAAGGAUCUGUGGGUAGAUGUUUGAGAGGUUUAGGUUCGAUGAAGUGAUUUUGGUAGAAGUUGUGUUUUGGGUGCAGAAAAGAGGAGAGGGAAUGAACAAUUACUUCAGCGCCAGACGCAAAAUUUUGCGGUUUAUUUUUUUUUUUUUUAUUUAACUUUUUUUUUUUUUAAUUUGGUAUGCCGUAUGUGCAAAGAUAGCCCUUCCCCAUUAAACGCUAACAAAUCAUUUACACCAAUAUUAGCGUUCACUAGAAAACGCUAUCACACUCUUAUCAUCACACACCUUUUUUUUUUAUAAUUUUUUUUAAUACCAUAUAAUAGCACUUUCUAUAAAAGGGCUAAUAUAGGUGUCACGUUAUAAUAGCAUGCGUAACGGAAGUGCUAUUAUUAAUAUUAGAGUCAAUCUUUUCAUAGCAUUUUCUCUAAAAGUGCUAUUAAAUUAGCGUUUCCGUUAUAAUAGUCCUUAUGAACAUCAAAUUAAGUUUGGUAUUUUUCAUUAUUCAUGUCGGCGAUUUUUACUAGUUUUGAUUUAAGUAAACGUUUUGAUUGACUUUAAUGACUAAAGUAACUAAGAGAAUAAAGAGUGAAGGAUUUAAUUGGCGUUUUAUUCAAGUCGUGGACCAAAAUUAAAUCUUGUUACACUUUUAAGGAGAAAAAUGGUUGUUUUUCCAAUAAUGUUUUCCAAUAUUAAAUUACAGUUGUUUUAUGCCUUAGGGAUGUUACACUUAAUUGAUAACUUAAAUAAGGUUUUUGGAGGUAAAUAAGAAAGAUGCAAAACCUCCAGCCAAGCCAAAACAACCCCGUUUCGAUUUGUGAACUUGACCAUAAUAUAUUAUACACAAGAUAUAUAAAAACAAAGCAUUGGUAACUAGUAGAUUUUUUUUUUUUAACAGCAAAGUUUAUUUAUAUGCUAACCCAACACAAGAAGUGAAGAGGCUAGAGGAAAGACGCAAGAUAAGAGAUACAUAAAGACAGACAACUAAACCAAGGCCAAAAAGGCACAACACAAACCACCUAAACAACCCUUAAUACAAUAGAAUCACAGCAGAAAAACCUUAACCAAAUCAAGCAAAAACAAUUGCUUAGUUGAUAUUGGUAUGCCUUGUCGCAUUGAUGUUUCAGAAAUGUCUAGGUGGAGGGGAAUGUUGUCUUAUAUGUGGUAAUACAGGUGGUAAUCCAUGUGGUAAACCCCUUACGAAUGGAGUCAAAUUGGUAAAUUUUUGUUCUGGGAUAGUAAUUGGAGGGAGAUUGCAAAAUGUUGAGGAGAAAACAUAAGAGCAGCAAGGAAUAACACUAAUAAGGAUAAGAAAAAGGAUUUAGCCAUUUUAAGAAGUGAUAUUAUUAUUGUGUUGGUGCAUAAUACAUAUGGAAUUAACUGGUUUUAUACUAAUUAGAGACUCAAUGUGAGUUUAUGGUCAAUCUAAGUUAUUUACUAAAUGUCAAAAUUAUGUAUGAAUUGAAUUAUUCAACAAUGUUACAACUUCCAUGUAUUUGCUACUAGUUGAUGAUCAUUAACUAUCCUUAAUUUCAUUUUCCAUACAGCAAGACCAUUUAGUAUUAUUGGCUCUAUCUUUCCACUAAUAGGUAUGUAUUUGAUAAAUUUUAUACACAUUUUUUUUAAAUAAUUAUUUUUAUUAAAUCGCCCUUAGAAAAGUAAAAAAAAAAACAGCCUUUAAUUAGCCGCUAUAGUUUUUUUUUACAAAACUAGCCAGUAUAGUUUUAUCUCUAUAGUCUAAAUACAUUAUUGUUGUCAUUUACUAAAAUUAUUGAUCUAUAACAAUAACCAUAUACGAAGAAUACCUCAAAAAAAAACAAAAAACGUACGAAGGAGAAUCAACCAUCUGGAUAAUACAUAUCCUUAUUUUAUUUAUUUGAAUUUGAAUGGCAACCACCAAAGCCACAUAUAGAAAGAAUAUUUUCCUACCAAUCGUACAUGAUGCCCAUAACAAAAGAUAGGUUCCAUAAUAUGGCCCCAUAAUAUCCUUAUCCUUAUAAUUAUGGUUCAGAAAAUAAAAAACCUCGUUAAGUUUUAGGAUUAUUUUAAGUUGAUAAAUAUUAACGAGUAUCUUCAGAGCAUUUUUUAAGCAUCUAAAGUGGUAAGAUUUUAUGAAAGUUGAGCAUUUAUUAUAUUGGAAAUUGAAGUCUUUACAUUUCUUUUAAAAAUAAUUUUUUCAUUAUAAAUGCUUAAAAGAUGCUCCAUGGACAUUCAUUAACAGGACUCUUUUAAGUUUUAGAAUGUUAGCAUUUCCCUAAGACACAUGUUAAAGAUAGAGAUAUAUUAUGGCCUCUCACGGUAGCACCCGCCUACGUAGCGAGUUUAUGGUCAAUCUAAGUCAUUUACUAAAUGUCAAAAUUGUGUAUGAAUUGAAUUAUUCAACAAUGUUACAAGCUCCAUGUAUUUGCUACUAGUUGAUGAUCACUAACUAUCCUUUCAUUUUCCAUACAACUAGACCAUUUUUUUUUAGUAUUAUUUGCUCUAUCUCUCCACUUGUUUCCACAAAUAUGAUUAAUUUUUUUCGAAAAUUUUGUUUUUUUAAAUAUGAUAUUAUGGAAAACAAAAUUCGAAAAUUUGAAUAUAUAUUAAUCUUUUCCACAAUUUUUUUAAAUAUUUCCCGAUUAUUUUUAUAAUUUUUCCAGAUUUUUUUCAUUAUUUUUUAUUUUACCAGAUUUUUUUAAUCAUUAUUAAUUUUUACAUUUUUUUUUUAAAAUUUUUCAGUAUUUUUUUUAAUCAUUAUUCGUUUUUUAAAUUUUUUUAUUUUUAUUUUAAAAAAAUCACAAAUGCCACGUGGCGUUCAUUUACACGCGUGGCAUGAAAAAAAUUAAACAAAAAAAAAUUGACACGUCACUGCCACGUAGUAGAUUCUGCCGACACAUUGAGGUGAGGGGUCAAUCCUGAAGAAUCUUCAUUUUUCAAGGGUGGAAUCUAAAAAAAAAAAAUUACAGGGGCUAAAACCAAAAGUGCAUUAUAUUACAAAGGCCAAAAACACUAUUAACACUAUAUUAUUACUUCUUCUUUUUUAUAAAAAUCCAAAUAAAAAUCAUUUGCAUUGCAGCCAAUUGGCCAAAUGCAACAUGACAAGCGCAAAAUUGCUCCAUGUUGACUUGUGAGAACUCUUGUUCUAGAUAGAGAACCUUAUAGUUUUUGUUGUCACAGAAAAUGUUAAACAACUUUUUCCAUGCAAUUUAUGCGUCUGAAUCGCGCUUGAUGAUGGUGAUGAGAAUAUAUUCUGAGGUGGUGUCAUAUAUCCAUUAUAAUACGACAACAUCAAAAAGCGGCCAAAGAUUGGGAUUGAUUUCUUUGAGAGAGGGAGUUGUUGGCUUAUUAGUGGGUGAGGGAGGAAUGAUGUGAUGAAAGACUUGAUGAACCCUUGCAUGAAUUUUAAAGAGUUCGAACCACGUAUUAUAUUGGACCCUUUUUUAUACUAAACGUAACCUUGAUGAAAUUGGUGAUAAUUGAAAAUGGUGGUAGAGGGAUGGAUAGGUGUGGAAGGAGUUGGGGUUGAAAUUGUCCUUCGAGUGGUAGUAUUUUUGGGGAUGAUUCGGCCCUGAUGGUGAAUGAAGGAGAAGAGGAACGAUGGCGCUGUAUUAGGUUUACGAGAGAAGGAUGAGUACCAAUAACUUACUGAUACCAUGUAAGAAUUAUAAUAAGAUAAUUAUUAGUCGUGUGUCAUUUGCAUUGAGAGGAUCCGUUGACACUAGGUGUCAAACUUUAGUUUGACAUCAAAUCUCAACCGUCUAUUAUGUCUAAUCUAAUGGUCUGUGAUUAUUUAUUAAAUUAACUUGUGUGAUCUUUUUCCCAUGUCUCACCUGAUCCCACGCCGGCUGUUCUGCUCCAUCUCCUUCAACUUAUCAAAGUUAAUAUGGCCAACAAUCAAAUACACACACAAAUUAAUUCUUUUAUUUUUUAAAGAAGAAGAAGCUAAAUUAGCCCACACAAAUUGGCACCGGAGAGAAUCGAUCCUGAGACCUCGAGGAGGAGCACACUCCCAGAUCCCAAGUCAAUACCACCAGACCAACCCAAAUGAUAAAUAAGGAGUUAAUUCUAAAUAAGGAGUUAUACAUAUAAUUACAUAUUGUUGACAUUAAUUGUUCUCUGUGGGGCAAGAUACUUGAGGUGUAAGUUUCAUAAGAUGCAAGUUCUUUUAAGUCUAAAUUGUCUUAUACUUACAUUAUUUUAGGUCUAAAUUUCAGAAACCAUUAUCACAAAUUUUUUGACAAUCUUAUAUCACAUACUCGUACUAUAUUUUUACUUCUCUUUUUGUUGUUUUGGUUUUUGUUUUCAUACCUAAUUUUCCUUGUAAAUAUAUAGUUGUCUCAUAAAUUAUCGUUAAAAUUGUUGUUCAAAUAACACAACUCUUAUUUCUAAUACUCAAAAUUUGUUCAAAUUAAGUUUUUAAAGAACUUCUAAUAAAAUCAGAUUAAGUUUUUUUGAACUUUCUAAAUACUUAAAUUGAAUUUUCUCGAAUAUACAUCUUGGAGAAAGAAAAAAAAUAAUUAUAGGAGGGAGAUGCAAAACUUACGUUUUCUUUCUCUAGAAACAUAUUUUGAGUUUUCAAUAUCAUCAAAAUCAUAAACUUUAUUUAUUUGCAAAUCUAGAGCACAUAUAGCACGAUUUUCUCUCAUAAUUUACAUUGAUAUAACACAUAUUAUGUUCUUACCUUGCCCAAACAUUCGGGAUUUAAUUGAUAAUGUAAAAGAUGUUUUCAAAUGUAGAAUAAGAAAGAUGGAAAACCUCCAAGCCAAAUUAUACACAAGAAUAUAAAACAAAGCAUUUACUUGGUAGAUAAUAUUUUCUUUUUAAACAGCAAAUUUUAUUCAUAAUAAGAUAACCUAACACAAGAAGUGAAGAGGCUAUAGGGGAAAGACACAAGGUAACAAUACAUAAAGACAACUAAACCAAUGCUAAAAAGCCACAUCACAAAACCACCCAAACAACCCUUAAUACAAUAUAAUUGAACCAGUUUCCAUCAACACCACAUCAAUAGACCCCUAAAUAAUUGAACAAAAACCAGCCACCUAAACUUCCUGGUACCAGUAAAUUACAAUUACUUAGUAGAUAUUGAUAUGUCUUGUUGCAUUGAUGUUUCAGAAAUGUGUGGCUGGAGGGUAAUCUUUGGGUCGUAACUUCCACAAUAUCUUCGAGCAGCGAUUGAUUUUGGGAGGUUUGAAUUUUGGCAAGGCAGCAUCAACAGCAAAAUGUUGAGGAGCAAGCAUAAAAGCAGCAAGGAAUAACACUAAUAAGGAUAAGAAAAAGGAAUUAGCCAUUUUAAGAAGUGAUAUUAUUAUUGUGUUGGUGCAUAAUACAUAGGUAGUUAACUGGCUUUAUACUAGUUAGAGACUCAAUGUGAUUUUUUGGUCAAUCUAAGUCAUUGUGUAUGAAUUCAAUCAUUCAACACGUAGGUUCCAUGCAUUUGGAAAACUAGUUGAUGAUUAAUAAUGUUCAAUAUAUUAGGCUAUGAAUUGUUUAUGAAUUGAAUUAUUGAACAAUGUUACAUGUUCCAUGUAUUUGCAACUAGUUGAUGAUUGGUAGCUACCUAUCCUUUAAUUUUCCACACAACAAGACCAUUCAGUAAUAUUGGCUCUAUAUCUCCACUUGUUUGCCCACACCGUGGUUUAGCUGAAAAAACAGUGUACUGGAGGUGGAACAUGUUUUAAUAACAUUAAUAUGUAGAUAUUAUUAUUUAUGCAUUGAACCCUGUAUUGAUAAAAAUUCCACAUAGGUUACUUUAUUUGUCAUUUAUGCUUGAAUAUAUAAAUACAAAACAGUGUUUUUUCUUAUUAAAAUAGGGGGAUUUUAGGCUAGCUUUUGUUAUUCUAAUUAUACCCUUAAAUAAAUAAAAAAUCAAAUAAUGUAAUAUUGUUGGUAUAAUUAAAAAAAUAAGAAUUUUUGUUAUAUUAUUGUUGUCAUUGAGUAAGAUAAAUAUGGUUUGUUGAGUUUGUUACAUUUGAAAGUCACAUAUAUUUAUACUUAUAAUUUUAAUCUAUAUCAAAGAGUUUAUAUAAAAUAUCGGUUGUAAUUUACACGCAAAAUUUCUAUAAAUUAUCGUAGAUAAUCUAUACACGUUAACGUAUUAAAAAGAGUAGAAAGAUGCGCAUGUGACUGCCCGUAUUUUGGUCCCUUAACUUCUCUCUCUUACACAUUUUGGUCCUUUCCAUUAGUUUAAUUCAAAAACGUUGAAUUUUCUUCAUCUUCUUCUCCUCUUUUUCAUCUUCAUAUCAUCUCCAUCAACCUUCAACAACAAGAAUCCCAAAAAAAAUUAUAGAAGAAAAUGAAGAAAACCUAACGUUUUUGAAUUAAAACUAACGGAAAUGGCCAAAAUGUGUAACAGAGAGAAGUUAUGAGACCAAAAUAAAUCGAAUUUUAAUUAAGGGAUCAAAGCGAUACUACCUAAAUAGUUAAGGGACCAAAAAUGCAAUUUAGCCUAUAAUCUAAUAUCAUCGUUAUUAAAUAUUAUUUUAUAAUCUAAUAUCAUUGUUAUUAAAUUUUAUAGCAAGUAUCAAACGAAGAACCGAGAGUUGUUGUUUGAUAUUGUUAUUUAAUCAUGUCUCGUAUAUCAAAGGAAGGAUCGAGAGGUAAAAUUUGAUAUUGGAAUAAAUGAGAUUGUAAACGAUAAGCAAAAUAUGAGAAAAAUUUUGUGACUCUUAUGACAAUAAGGUUAUAAGGUUGCACUCAAAAAGUUUUAAUGAUUAUCAACUAUGAGAAUAGGUUUAAUUACUGUUGAGAUACAUUCAUGUAAUCUGAUAGGAAACAUGAAAUAUCAAAGAACAUCUUGUCCUUAGAAACGAAUAGAGAAAUAUAUAGGGAAUGUUUAGAAUUUAACUUUAUGAUGAAAACCUCAAUCUCAUGACGCAUUUUAAUAUCUGAAUUUUAAUCUAAAAAAUCAUUGCACUUAAUCAACUUAUCUUUUUCAGCUAAUCAAGACUAAAAAUUAGAUUAGAAUUUACUUUAAGUCCAUGUGAAUCGAUAUUUUACUAGAACCGUACACUUGCAGAAACCUAUCAAAGACCCUAUUGAUGUAUAUGGAAUCGUAGUUACCUAUCAAAGCUACAAAAUUUAGAUCGGACUUGGGGGUCUUUCUAACCGUUCUUGAAGUCGUAGGGGGGUUCGUUUACCGGAUGUAGCAUCGAAGGCUUGAGUGCAGAGUUCGAAGGGGUGCACAAGUAUUCAAGGAUCCGAAGAUUCAAGAAGCACCAAAUUUAAGGGUUACUUGGAGUUUGGGGGAGUGUUUUACAUAGGAGUUGAAGAAUUAGGUUUUAAUUUCAAGGAACUCUUGUAAACACAUUGUAUUCAACAUUUGUUACAUGGUGGAUGAUCUCGGUGAAGAUGUACUUAAUCAAGAAGAGUAGAGGUAGAUCUAGAGAGGACGAGAAAGAGCAAUCUAUUAUAAAAAUAUCGGUGUGAUCUCUCUUUCCCUAUCCUCUUUACUUUUAGAUAUUGCAUGUGAUUAAUUGAAUAAUUUUUAGGAUAAUUUCUAGUGUUGAUCUAAGUUGUUUUUCAUUGAAAAUCAAUCUAAUUCAUUGAAUUAGGUUUCAUAUAAUUUGCUUAGAUCAAUUGAAUGCAAAAUCUAUUCAAUUCUUCAAUUACACAUGUAUUGUGUUUUUUAUUUGAUAACUUAGUAAUUUUGUUCAUAUAGAUUUGGUUUGAAAUUGUCUAUUGUUUUAUACAUUGUUCAAGGAAUAUUAAAGUUUGAUUGUAUAAUAACAUUUAGUAACAAGGUGAUUGCAACACUUGAAAAAUUGUUAGCUGAUAUAGUGAUAUAGUAACAAUUGAGUAAAAGUGUUAGAUCCAAUACAACAAGUACCAUCCCUAAAAAAAAAACAAAAAUACAAGUAACAAUAGAACUCAUUCGUUAUUCAUUCACGUGUUAAAAAAUUUAGCUGAAAAAACAGUGUACUGGAGGUGGAACCUGUUUUAAUAACAUUAAUAUAUAGAUAUUAUUAUAUAUGCAUUGAACCCUGUAUGAUUUAUUGAUAAAAAUUCCACAUUACGUUAUUUGUCAUUUAUGCUUGAAUAUAAAAAUACAAAACAGUGUUUUUUCUUAUUAAAUUUUUUAAUUAAUUUAUAAAGACUUUUAAUAACUUAGUGUUUACCAAUUGCACUCAUUAAUUCUUAAUUAUAGAAUAAUUGUAAACCCAUUUUAGAUCCUCCAAAAAUGAAGAAAGCUCAUUCUUAGGACAACACAAAAUGGAAGAAACUCAAGAUUGUUGGCAUAUUGGUAGACUAUUUCUGUUUGACAAAUUCAAUAAUCUAGUUUAUAGUUUAUAAGUCCGAAUGAUUAAAAAAUAUAUGUUUCAUAACUGUUUUUUCAUCACAAGUUUUAUAGUUUAUUUUAUUAGUUUGUAGGUUUUUUUUUAGACUUUAUUCCAAAUGUGGAAUAACGUUUGAGAUUAUAGUUUAUCCUUUAUAAUCUAUAUUAUAUAUAAUGAAAAUAGGGGGAUUUUAGGCUAUCUUUUUUGUUAUUCUAAUUAUAUCCUUAAAUAAAAAGAAAUCAAAUAAUGUAAUAUUGUUGGUGUAAUUAAAAAAAUAAGAAUUUUUGUUAUAUUAUUGUUGUCAUUGAGAAAGAUAAAUAAAUAUAGUUUGUUGAGUUUGUUACAUUUGAAAGUCACAUAUAUUUAUACUUAUAAUUUCAAUCUAUAUCAAAGAGUUUAUAUAAAAUAUCGGUUGUAAUUUACAAGCAGAAUUUCUAUAAAUUAUCAUAGAUAAUCUAUACACGUUCACGUAAUAAAAAAAAGCAGAAAGAUGCGCACGUAAAUGCCCGUCUUUGCACUAGUUUAUUAUAAAAAAAAUGCUAAAAUGUUCAGUUCUUUUGGUCAUACUGCACAAAUUAUUUGGUAGCUUGACAUAUAUGUUACUGAUGUAAACUUCACUCUCACUUUAAUUAUGUUACUCCACAGUCCUCUAAAAUUGUGUUUCUCUUUUUUCCCUAAAACUUCUCUUUUGGAUUAUUCAAUCCGAAUUAAGUUGUUUCUGGUUUGAAAUAUAUAAUUUGAACUGCUUCUAUAUAUGUUUUCUCUUUAUUUUGUGGCUAUUUAUUAAUUGUGUGUAUAUCUGAUUUUAACACUUUCAAAUAUUGAUCGCAUGGGCUGUGUUAGGAAUGAUAGAAUUUCCUUGACUGCAUCUUCUAGGUGAGAGCAGACGUAGAAGAAUGUACUAGAAAGGAGAGUGGUCAAGGGCAGGGGCAUGGUCCGCAAUGCUGAGACGCAGAGAGGUCGUCAGUUCCUAGACAUUAGUGGAAGUUUAGGGCGCAUCGGGGAACAUGUCAGAAAUAUUUAACUUUUUUAGUGAAUAUUUUUUUAAUUUAAAAUUUUUAAAGAGUGUCUCGAAGAUACUCGUUGGCAAGACUGAUAAGUUGUAGUUAAUGGUGUUUUUAACAUUUAAAUUCAAUAAUAUUUACGUUGUUUUAGUUUUAAUUUAGAUUCAUUUUACUGGAAAGCAUUAGUUUUUGUUUUCAUAAUCAAAAAUUUGAAGAACAGUGUACCUGGAUCAAGAGCGAGGAUAAAGAGCCAUAAAGCAACAACAUGGAUUGUUCGUGGUUCCAUCUGGGUUGUGCACUUCUUAAAAUGUCAGAAUUUCAAAAGUUGAAGUACAAGCACGACCGUGCCCCCCAACACCGUAGAAAUAAGCAUGAUUGUGCGCUUCAGAAGCACGACUUUGCACCCCUCAAAACAUGUCAAAAGUUGGAAAGGUGAUCAUGACCGUGUACCCUUGAAGCAUGACUGUGCACCCUUGAAGCACGACCGUGCGUCUUGUGCAGAGAAAAUAGUUGUUACAACCUUUUAGAAUUCUUUAGUUUAUGGCUUGUAACUCGUUUUUAAUAUAUUAUAUGAGGCUCUAGGCUAUAAAUAUACCUCACUUCUAAGGAAAAAAGAAUCUUAGAUACUUGUAAACUUACUCUAAAGUUGAAAACAUAAUUUUGCAAUGUUCUAAGUUCUUUGUUCUUUAUUUUUCAUUUCUUUACAUUUGUGUUCUUUACUCUUCUGUUCUUUACAUUUUAAGUUAUUUACUUUCAUGUCUUUUACUUUCUUGUCUUUAUAUAUUAAUCAUUCGUCUACUAUGAGAGAGAGAGAGAGAGAGAGAGAGAGAGAGAGAGAGAGAGAGAGAGAGAGAGAGAGAGAGAGAGAGAGAGAGAGAGAGAGAGAGAGAGAGAGAGAGAGAGAGAGAGAGGUGAUAUUAGUGCAGAACACAUAGCAAAAGAGAAUGAAAAAAGAAGAUCCCGAUCCUUUUCUAAAGGAGAAUCAACCAUCUAUAUAACGACAAAUUUAAACCCAUCAAGUACAAAAAAACGAUCAAGGUAAAAAAUAUAAACGGAACAUUGAACAAUUUUAUUAAAUUAUAAUAAACUUCAAAGGGUAAAAUUGGUUUUUAGAUAAACAUAUAAGGGGUUACCAAAUAGGGUUACAAGUUAUAAGCUUGUGAAGAAAACGUCUUGGUUGACUUCAAUGACUAAAGUAACUAAGACCAAAGAGUGAAUGAUUUAAUUCGGAUUUUAUCUAAGUCAUUGACCAAAAUUACAUCUUGUUACACUUUUAAGGAGAAAAAUGGUUGUUUUCUCAAUAAUGUUUUCCAAUAUUAAAUUAAUGUUGUUUUCUGCCUUAGGGAUGUUACCAAUUUGUUAUGUUGGAGUUACCUUUAGUGCUAAGAAACCUUUAGACCAAUAAAAAUAUUUUGAGUCCCUUUUAAAGUGGUAAAUACACUAAUAUAAAGUCAUUGUCAAUUGAUGUUAGGACUAUUUAUUAAUAAUGCAAUAUUUACUUGUUGUUCUUUGGUAGACACUUAAGGUGCGUUUGAUUUGUUAAAAAAUGAAGGACAGAACAACUCUAGUUGUCCAGUGUUUGAUUUGUAAAACUGUUUUAGGUACAAGACAAUUUGGAGGCAAGGGACAGGACAAAAACUCAUUUUUGUCCCUCACCAACCCACAACACAACUUUUUGUCCCACGUACAAGUUGUCUAAAAUACCAAAAUAGCAUUUUGUCCCUCAAAAAUCGUAUAAAACAAAAAAUUACUCAAUGCCAUAAAAAAUUUGUCCUGUCUUGUUCUGCCUUGUGUUGUACUGUUCUAUCUUGUACUGUUUUGUCCGGUACUUGCUGUUUUGCAAACCAAACACACCCUUAGAGGUCAUUUUUGUGGACUGUAGGUACCUAAAGCUCUAUGAACUUGGUUAUAUCAUAGAUAACGUCGUAUUGGAAAAACGGAAAUGAAAGACUCAUCUCUCACUCUACUUAGGGCUAGCCAAUUGUCAAACGCCAAUUGUCAAACUUGGUUACAAUUAAUUUUUUUUGGAAAACUUAUUUUGAAUUUUCUACAUGUCAUGAAAAAUUCAAAUUUCUGUUUUCUGAUUAGAAGAUCAAUAAACGGUUCAAUAUCAUCACAAUCUCCAAAUCAUAACUUCAUUCAUUUGCAAAUCUAGAGCACAUAUAUCACGAUUUUCUAUCAUGAUUUGCAUUGAUAUAAGUAAGUAUAACACAUAUAUUUUACUCUUAACUUAGCCAUACAUUGCGGAUUUACUUAGUAGAUAGAGUAAUGUUUUUUUUUAAACAACAAAUUUUAUUCAUAAGCUAACCCAACACAAGAAGUGAAGAGGCUAGAGGAAACACACAAGACAACAGAUACAUAAAGACAACUAAACCACCCAAACAAUCCUUAAUACAAUAGAAUAACAUCAGAAAAACCAGCCACCUAAACUUCCUAGUACCAUGAAACAAUGUCAGGUCGCGUUGAUUUUUAGGCUGGAGGGCAAUGUUUGUUUCGGAAGUUCUCGACUUUCUUCAACAAAGGGUAGUGCUUUUUGCAGAAAUCGGGUAUAUGGGGUAUAUGUACUGGUUUAUCUUUUGGGAUUAAAUUUUUGAUUUUUGGGAUUAAUGCUUCAACUGCGGGACCAAAGCUAACAGCAUCAGCAAAAUGUUGUUGAGGAGCAAGCAUAAAAGCAGCAAGGAAUAACACUAAUAAGGAUAAGAAAAAUGAAUUAGCCAUUUUAAGAAGUGAUAUAAUUAUUAGUGUUGGUGCAUAAUACAUAUGGAGUAUACUGGUUUUAUACUAGUUAGAGACUCAAUGUGAGUUUAUGGUCGAUCUAAGUCAUUUACUAAAUGUCAAAAUUGUGUAUGAAUUGAAUUAUUCAACAAUGUUACAAGUUCCAUGUAGUUGCUACUAGUUUAUGAAUUGAAUUAUUCAUUCGAUUCUCCGCGCGACUCAGGUGCAUGCCGAAACCGUUUUAAUUAUAUGAGCAAAUUAAUAAAUAAAUGGGUUGGUGCUUAUGAUGGUGCUAAGCGUUUGCAAGGAAGCGGUUGGUCGAAAGAUGAUGUUUUGGAAAAAGCCCAUGAAUUAUAUGUGAAACACCCCGUUUUCCCAACUUGAAUUUUUUUGCAUAAAUCAGAGUAAAACAACUAAACAGGAUGCUGCACUUCUUUCAAAUCUGAAUAUAGUAAAAUUACUAAUUAUCUCAAUCAUCAAAUUAAAUCUUAUUGCAGCGGAAAUUAGUUCAACGUUUAAAACAACCUUGGCACAAAGGCCUCAAUGUAAAAUCUCAUAAAAUUAUUCCAACAACAUGUUCAUAAAACUUCAUAAAAUAAUACGUAAGGAACGUAAAGCAACAACAAAAUUCUCAUCCCGUUACGUAUCAGAGCACCUAAGACACACGUGAGAGAAUCCACUCACGACCGCAACUAUUCUUGGUUACCUGCAAGUUACUCAAUUGUGAGGGCAACAUUUCCAAGCAGAAGGGGUGAGAUUUCACAUUCAAUAAUAAUAAGCAUAUAAUUCAUCAAAUUCAUUUAACAACUUAAACUUCAUCAAUUAGUAACACUAACUCUUCGCAUAAAUACUUCAUUAAUUAAUAACAUUAACUCUUCCUAUAAGACUUCAUUAAUAACUCAAUCAACUUCUAAUCAUCAUUAACUUCAUAUUCAUCACAUUAUAUACAACGUCAUACAGCACGUAAUAAUCAAAUCAUAAACAUCAUCAUAUAAAAACCUAAUCAUCACAUCAUAAACAUCAUCUUAUAACAUCAUAUAGUUCACAUCAUAAACAUCAUCAUAUAACAACAUAAACAUCACAACAUAAACAUGAAAUAAGGUUAUAAGGUUGCACUCAAAAAGUUUUAGUGAUAGUCAACUAUGAGAAUAGGUCUAAUUACUGUUGAGAUACAUUCAUGUAAUCUUAUAGGAAACAUGAAAUACCAAAGAACAUCUUGUCCUUAGAAAUGAAUAGAGAAAUAGAUAUGGAAUGUUUAGGAUUUAACUUUAUGAUGAAAACCGCAAUCUCAUGACGCAUUUUUAUAUCUAAAUUUUAAUCAAAAAAAAUAAUUGCACUUAAUCAAUUUAUUUUUUUCAGCUAAUCAAAACUAAAAAUUAGAUUAGUAUUUACUUAAAGUCCAUGUGAAUCGAUAUUUUACUAGAACCGUACACUUGCGUAAACCUAUCAAAGACCCUAUUGAUGUAUAUGGAAUCGUAGUUACCUAUCAAAGCUACAAAAAAAAUUAGAUCGGAAUUGGGGUCUUUCUGACCAUUCUUGAAGUCGAAGGGGGUUCGUUUACUGGAUGUAGCAUCGAAGGCUUGAGUGAAGAGUUCGAAGGGGUGCACGGGUAUUCAAGGAUCUGAAGAUUCAAGAAGCACCAAAUUUAAGGGUUACUUGGAGUUUGGGGGAGUGUUUUACAUAGGAGUUGAAGAAUUAGGUUUUAAUUUCAAGGAACUUUUGUAAACACAUUUGUAUUCAACUAUUAUAAAAAUAUCGGUGUUAUCUCUCUUUCCCUAUCCUCUUUACUUUUAGCUAUUGCAUGUGAUUAAUUGAAUAAUUUUUAGAAUAAUUGCUAGUGUUGAUCUAAGUUAUUUUUCAUUGAAAAUCAAUCUAAUUCAUUGAAUUAGGUUUCAUAUAAUUUGCUUAGAUCAAUUGAUUGAAAAAUCUAUUCAAUUCUUCAAUUACACAUGUAUUGUGUUUUUGAUUUGAUAACUUAGUAAUUUUGUUCAUGUAGGUUUGGUUUGAAAUUGUCUAUUGUUUUGUACAUUGUUCAAGGAAUAUUAAAGUUUGAUUGUAUAAUAAGAUUUGUAUCGUGAAUCUCUCAAUUCUAAGAUUAAGUCUCAUUGCACAUAUAUUUGACCUUUUGAUUCCUUGAUUGUCAUUGUUCGACCACGAAUCCAAUAGUCAAUUUUGUUGAGAGAGAGAGAGAGAGAGAGAGAUUGGAUGGACGGGUGAUAUUAGUGCAGAACACAGCAAAAGAGAAUCGAAAAAAGAGGAUCUUGAUCCUUUUCUAAAGGAGAAUCAACCAUCUAUAUAAUGACAAUUUUAAACCCAUCAAGUACAAAAAUAACGAGCAAGGUGAAAAUAUAAACGUAACAUUGAACUAUUUUAUUAAAUGAUAAUAAACUUCAAAGGGUAAAAUUGGUUUUUAGAUAAACAUAUAAGGGGUUACUAAAAAGGGUUACAAGUUUUUUUUUUUUUUUGAAAGAAGGGAUACAAAUUAUAAGCUUGCGAAGAAAAGACGGUUAUCAAACACAGCCUAUGCAGCUCAUGAAGCUGCCAUAAAAAUUUUAAUAGUGGGGGAUGUUUAAUGAAGAUUAGUAGUAGUGUUACGUUAUUCAUGGAGCUAUAGUUAUAAAUAAUUUUAAAGUGGGUAAUGUUUAUUGAAGAUAGGGAGAUCGAAGCGGAAAUGCUGAAAAAUGAUGAUGGAAAAAUAUAAAUCGAUAUUAUCUUUUAUUUUAGUCAGAAUUUAAAUUUGGUAUUUUUCAGUAUCCAUGUCGGCGAUUUUGACUAAUUUUGAUUAAGUAAACGUCUUAGUUGACUUCAAUGACUAAAGUAACUAAGAACAAAGAGUGAAUGAUUUAAUUCGGGUUUUAUCUAAGUCAUUGACCAAAAUUACAUCUUGUUACACUUUUAAGGAGAAAAAUGGUUGUUUUCCCAAUAAUGUUUUCCAAUAUUAAAUUAAUGUUGUUUUCUGCCUUAGGGAUGUUACCAAUUUGUUAUGUUGGAGUUACCUUUAGUGCUAAGAAACCUUUAGACCAAUAAAAAUAUUUUGAGUCCCUUUUAAAGUGGUAAAUACACUAAUAUAAAGUCAUUGUCAAUUGAUGUUAGGACUAUUUAUUAAGAAUGCAAUAUUUACUUGUUGUUCUUUGGUAGACACUUAGAGUUCAUUUUUGUGGACUGUAUGAACUUGGUUAUAUCAUAGUUAACGUCGUAUUAGACAAACGGAAAUGAAAGACUCAUCUCUCACUCUACUUAGGACUAGCCAAUUGUCAAACUUGGUUACAAUUUAUUUUGUUUGGAAAACUUAAUUUGAAUUUUCUACAUGUCAUGAAAAAUUCAAAUUUCUGUUUUCUGAUUAGAAGAUCAAUAAACGGUUCAAUAUCAUCACAAUCUCCAAAUCAUAACUUCAUUCAUUUGCAAAUCUAGAGCACAUAUAUCACGAUUUUCUAUCAUGAUUUGCAUUGAUAUAAGUAAGUAUAACACAUAUAUUUUACUCUUAACUUAGCCAUACAUUGCGGAUUUACUUAGUAGAUAGAGUAAUGUUUUUUUUUAAACAACAAAUUUUAUUCAUAAGCUAACCCAACACAAGAAGUGAAGAGGCUAGAGGAAACACACAAGACAACAGAUACAUAAAGACAACUAAACCACCCAAACAAUCCUUAAUACAAUAGAAUAACAUCAGAAAAACCAGCCACCUAAACUUCCUAGUACCAUGAAACAAUGUCAGGUCGCGUUGAUUUUUAGGCUGGAGGGCAAUGUUUGUUUCGGAAGUUCUCGACUUUCUUCAACAAAGGGUAGUGCUUUUUGCAGAAAUCGGGUAUAUGGGGUAUAUGUACUGGUUUAUCUUUUGGGAUUAAAUUUUUGAUUUUUGGGAUUAAUGCUUCAACUGCGGGACCAAAGCUAACAGCAUCAGCAAAAUGUUGUUGAGGAGCAAGCAUAAAAGCAGCAAGGAAUAACACUAAUAAGGAUAAGAAAAAUGAAUUAGCCAUUUUAAGAAGUGAUAUAAUUAUUAGUGUUGGUGCAUAAUACAUAUGGAGUAUACUGGUUUUAUACUAGUUAGAGACUCAAUGUGAGUUUAUGGUCAAUCUAAGUCAUGUACUAAAUGUCAAAAUUGUGUAUGAAUUGAAUUAUUCAACAAUGUUACAUGUUCCUUCCAUGUAUUUGCUACUAGUUGAUGAUCAGUCCCUACCUAUCCUUUAAUUUUCCACACAACAAGACCAUUCAGUAAUAUUGGCUCUAUCUCUCCACUUGUUUGCCCACCAUGGUUUAGCUGAAAAAACAGUGCAACUUGUUUCAAUAACAUUAAUAUAUAUAGAUAUUACUAUUUAUAUAUGCAUUGAACCCUGUAUGAUUUAUUUAUUUAUAAAAAUUCCAAAUAGGUUACUUUAUUUGUCAUUUAUGCUUGAAUAUGAAAAUACAAAACAGUGUUUUUUCUCAUUAAAAUUUUUACUAUAAAGAUUUUUAAUAACUUAGUGUUUACCAAUUGCACUUACUAAUUCUUAAUUAUAGAAUGAUGAUUAAAAAUUGUAUGUUUCAUAACUGUUUUUCAUCACAAGUUUAUAGUUCACUUCUCAGACGUUAUUCCAAAUAACGUUUGAGAUUAUAGGUUAUCAUUUUAAUUUCAUGUUUACCUUUAUUAUUUUGUUUAAGAUUUAUUUUUAUCCUUUUUAAUAUAUACUAUUUAUAAAGAAAAUAUAGGGAUUUUGGGCUGACUUUUUUGUUAUUCCAAUUAUACCUUUAAAUAAAAAAAAAUCAAAUAAUGUGAUAUGGUUGGUGUUAAUAAAAAGAUAAGAAUUUUUGUUAUAUUAUUGUUGUCAUUGAGAAUCAUAAAUAUUGUUUGUUGAGUUUGUUACAUUUGAAAGUCACAUAUCAUACUUUUAAUUUUUGUCUAUAUCAAAAAAUUUAUAUAAAAUAUCGUUUGUAAUUUACACGCAGAAUUUCAAUAAAUUAUCGUAAAUAAUUUAUACACAUUAACGUAAUAAAAAGAGCAGAAAGAUGAACAUGUGAAUGCUCGUCUUUUCGCUAGUUUAUUAUAAAGAAUAUGCUAAAUGUUUGGUUCUUUUGUCAUACUACACAAAUUAUUUGGUAGCUUUAUAUAUAUGUUACUAAUGUUAAUUUCACUCUCACUUUAAUUAUGUUACUCCAGAGUCCCUCUGAAAUAAUGUUUCUCUUUUUGCCCUAAAACUUCUCUCUUGCCAUCCAAAAUUUAAAACUCCCAUAUUAUAUGAUUCAUGAAGAUUUUUUGCUUCAAAACAUUGAUCAGGUCUUUUCAAACACGGACAACAAGGUAGGGUAUCAUUCCUUCCCUUUAGUGUUAUUUGAAUCUUUUUUUUUUUUCUUCUGUAAACUAAAACCUUAUAGAUUAUAUAAUAAUCUGAAUCAAGUUGUUCCUGGUUUGGAUUAUAUAAUUUGACAUGCUUCUAUAUAUAUGUUGUUUUGUUAUUUUGUGGAUAUUUUUUUAUUUUUUUUAGACAAAAGAGGAAUUAAAUUAAAAUAGAAAAGGAGGUAUAAGAUUGGGGGCAAUGACCUGACCAGUAAACCACAAAAUCAAAAUACAACAAUUUCAGUACAAAGUGGUAUACAACGAACACAACCCUAAACAAUCACUACUACGGACAAUUCAGCGAACCCACGUAUGAGCGCCAAACCGAAUUGCAAAAAAAACGUAGAGUGAGUAUUCAGAACUUCUAAAUAGGCGUAUGGAUCGACUGCCAACACAAAAACGAUCCAAGAUCAAGCAGCUCCCAUCAAAUAUCAGCAAGCAAUAAACGCCCUUUCGGGCCAACCAUUCCAGUCGUAGUUCAGUUCGAGGGAUGAACAAACGACAUAAAUGUAAAGCAGUCCACUGACAACGCAUAAAGCAACCGUAGCAGAUAAAGUCCUGCAGGUACGACAUCAACAACUAUCGUCAACCAGAGCGUCUACGCACUUAGCCCUUUCGUGCAUAUCAGGCGAAACAAGUCUUGUUGAAUCCAGAUCGAGGGAUGGUAUCCAACCAAACAUCGCACAAAUGAACAGAACCAUAACCAAAUCUUAAAUCCAGACAAACCAAAUUCAAAAUUUCAACUAAACCGGAUAGCCAGAAUAAGACCACCACCAAUCUUCAUCUUCCCGAAACAACAUAAAACACCAUUCGAUUCUUCAUGGUCUUCUUCUUUCAAACUAGUGCGUCUUCCUGGAACCGCCAUUGAUGUGAAAUUCGACUAUCUUUGCCGCCGCUUCAACUUCAAACUACUAUGCCAUUGACGCUUUUAAUUUAGUGGGAGAAAAAAGAAAAAGAUCGAAAUGAAAGUAGAAGAAGAAGGUUUGGUGUGUGUUUUUGAAGAAGAAGACGAAGAAAAAAAAAAGUUUGUGUUGUUACGUGUGAGAGGGUGUGGUGGUAAGCUUGUAUAUGAGAGAGAAAUAUAUGUCUAGAGUUUUGAUGUCUAAAGAAGACCACAAUUAAUGUGACAUUGGAAAAUGAAAGGGUGGAUGCAUGGGUACCAAAAUCUCAUAAUUAUUUGUUGGAAGAUGCAUAAGGAAGAGAGAGUUAUCCCCAAUAAAUGAGAGUGGGGAAUAGUUGAAAGAAGUGGCUUUUACAAAGUAGAAUGCUGAUUAGAAUUAACAAUUAAGUGUAGAUGAUCAACGGUUGAUGUUGAAUGGCGCCUAAAUGAUGAUCAGCAUCCAAUGGCUUGCAAAAUUGGAGAGAAAAAUGAGGGGGGAAAAUUAGGGUUAAGGAUAGCUUCGGGGGAUAAGCUUUAGUAAGUAAGAUUGUCUUAUAUACUUACAUUAUUUUAGGUCUAAAUUUCAGAAACCAUUAUUUGACAAUUUUUUUGACAAUUUUAUCUCACAUACUCACAUUAUAUUUUUACUUCUCUUUUUGUUGUUUUGGUUUUUAUUUUCAUACCUAAUUUUCCUUGUAAAUCUAUAGUUGUCUCAUAAAUUAUCGUUAAAAUUGUUGUUCAAAUAACACAACUCUUAUUUCUAAUACUCAAAAUUUGUUCAAAUUAAGUUUUUAAAGAACUUCUAAUAAAGUCAGAUUAAAGUUUUUUUGAACUUUUUAAAUACUUAAAUUGAAUUUUCUCCAAUAUACAUAUUAGAGAAAGAAAAAAAAUAAUGAUAGGAGGGAGAUGCAAAACUUAUGUUUUCUUUCUCUAGAAACAUAUUUUGAGUUUUCAAUAUCAUCAAAAUCUCAAAAUCAUAAACUUUAUUUAUUUGCAAAUCUAGAGCACAUAUAGCGCGAUUUUCUCUCAUAAUUUACAUUGAUAUAACACAUAUUAUGUUCUUACCUUGCCCAAACAUUCGGGAUUUAAUUGAUGAUGUAAAAGACGUUUUUAAAUGUAGAAUAAGAAAGAUGGAAAACCUCCAAGCCAAAUUAUACACAAGAUAUACAAAUUAUACACAAAAAUUUCAAAUUUCAAUUUUCUCGAGAGUAUUCUUAAAUGAUCAAUCAAUGAUUCAAUAUAAUCACAAUCUCAAAAUCAUAAACUUUAUUUAUUUUCAAAUCUAGAGCACAUAUAGCGGGAGGAGAUUGUCUCGUGUGAUUUUUCUCUCAUGUGUAAUCCAGACCCUCCAUUAAAUAUGUGAGAUAAUGUGUUUGUAAUAUAAAAUGACCGAACGCAAGAUAAAUUGUUUUUUUCUAAACAAUAAAUUUUAUUCAUAAGCAUUCCCGUGAGCUUAGCUCAGUUGGUACGGAUAUUGCAUUUUAUAUGCAGGGGCUGAGGUUCGAACCCCAGACACCCCACUUCUCCACAAUUAAAUUGUGUGAGCUCUAACCACUAGACUACUUGACCAAGAAAAAAAGAAAUAUUCAUAAACUAACCCAACACAACACAAGAAGUGAAGAGGCUAUAGAGGAAAGACACAGGGUAACAAUACAUAAAGACAACUAAACCAAGGCUAAAAAGCCACAACACAUGUAAAUGGCUUAUCACAGCAGAAAACAAGGUAUAUCAAUAUCAUGUGUGACUACAAAACCGCCCAAACAACCCUUAAUACAAUAGAAUCACAGCAGAAAACACCCUUAGUAGAUAUUGAUAUGCCUUGCCGCGUUGAUGUUUUAGAAAUGUGCAGGUGGAGGGCAAUUACUGGGUCGGUUAUGCCCGUUUUUCCUCGAGCAGGGAUUUAAUGAGGGCUUUUGGGAUGGUUUAGGACGAGGGAAAGGUACUGGUUUGGAUGGAGUGAAAUGGGGUAAAUGCUUUAUGAUUCCUGGAGGGAGAUGUAUGGCAUCAACAGCAAAAUGUUGAGGAACAAACAUAAGAGCAGCAAGGAAUAACACUAAUAAGGAUAAGAAAAAGGAUUUAGCCAUUUUAAGAAGUGAUAUAAUUAUUAGUGUUGGUGCAUAAUACAUAGGGAGUUAAACUGGUUUUAUACUAGUUAGAGACUCAAUGUGAGUCUAUCGUCAAUCAAAGUUAAAAUUGUGCACGAAUUGAAUUAUUCAACAAUGUUACAAGUUCCAUGUAUUUGAUACUAGCUGAUGAUCAUUUAGUAUUAUUGGCUCUAUCUCUCCACUUGUUUGCGCACAUGGUUUACCUGAAAAAACAGUGUACUGGAGGUGCAACUUGUUUUAAUAGCAUUUUUUGUUGAGCACAUCAUGAGACAACACCGACAUCCUAACUAGAUUAGUAUUUCAGGACGCCUCCGUCCUAUGCCUGCCAAUCUCUAAAUUUUAUUAAAAAAGGGUAAAAAUAUAUACAAGGAGAGUGAGGACUAGGCCAAAAUCCUCAAUGAAAAAACCAAAGGAAACAAUAAAAAAUAAAGCCUACUGAAAUCUAUAAUUGGGUGAGCCAAUUCUGUCUCUAUAGAAGUCGAAAUGCAACUCUGCACGAAGCGUGUCUAACCAAACAGAACCCUGAAUAUCAUGACCCUCGGACAUUCCAAUAUAACAUCAUUGGGAAGAUGGAGGAAGACCACUCUUUCCAAGGAUUUGAUAAUGCGGCUUUCCGAAGACUUACUUCUUCAUAUUUAACGCGGCUUUUUUGAGAGAACUUGCGUAAAUCCUUUCUUUACGGCCCGUUGAUCGUAUUCUUUGAUUCUGGCCCAUAAAUCCAAGUCAUUCUGUACGUUUUUGCUAGUGUUUUAAUAACAUUAAUAUAUAGAUAUUACUAUUUAUAUAUGCAUUGAACCUGUAUGAUUUAUUUAUAAAAAUUCCAAAUAAAUUACUUUAUUUGUCAUUUAUGCUUGAACAUAAAAAUACAAAACAUUGUUUUUUCUCAUUAAAAAAUUUAAUUAAUUUAUAAAGCUUUUUAAUAAAUUAGUGUUUACCAAAUUGCACUCAUUAAUUCUUAAUUAUUGAAUGAUUGUAAACUCAUUUUAGAACCUCCAAAAAUGAAGAAAGCUCAUUCUUAGGACAACACAAAAUGGAAAACACUCAAGAUUGUUGGCAUAUUGGUAGACUAUUUCUAUCUGACAAAUUCAAUAAGCUAGUUUAUAGUUUAUAAGUCCGAAUGAUUAAAAAAUGUAUGUUUCAUAACCGUUUUUUCAUCACAAGUUUUAUAGUUUAUUUUAUUAGUUUGUAGCUUAUUUUUUAGACGUUAUUUUAAAUAACGUUUGAGAUUAUAGUUUAUCAUUUUUAUUUGUGUUUACCUUUAUUAUUCUGUUUAAGAUUUAUUUUUAUCCUUCAUAAUCUAUACUACUACCGUUUAUUCUGUUUGACAUUAUAGUUUAUUUUUAUUUGUAGUAUAUAUAAAGAAAAUAGGGGGAUGUUAGGCUAGCUUUUUUGUUACUCUAAUUAUACCCUAAAAUAAAUAAAAAGUCAAAUAAUAUUAUAUUGUUGGUGUUAUUAAAAAGAUAAGAAUUUUUGUUAUAUUAUUGUUGUCAUUGAGAAAGAUAAAUAUGGUUUAUUGAGUUUGUUACAUUUGAAAGUCACAUAUAUUUAUACUUGUAAUUUUAAUCUAUAUCAAAGAGUUUUUAUAAAAUAUAGGUUGUAAUUUACACGCAGAAUUUCUAUAAAUUAUCGUAGAUAAUCUAUACACGUUAACGUAGUAAAAAGAGAAGAAAGAUGCGCACGUGAGUGCCCGUCUUUUCACUAGUUUAUUAUAAAGAAAAUGUUAAAAUGUUCAAUUAUUUUGGUCAUACUGCACGAAUUAUUUGGUAGCCUGGCAUAUAUGUUACUAAUGUUAAUUUCACUCUCACUUUAAUUAUGUUACUCCACAGUCCUCUAAAAUCGUGUUUCUCUUUUUGCCCUAAAACUUCUCUUUUAUGUUACUCCACAAUCCUCUAAAAUCGUGUUUCUCUUUUUGCCCUAAAACUUCUCUUUUUGAUUAUUCAAUCCGAAUCAAGUUGAUCUGGUUUGGAUUAUAUAAUUUGAACUGCUUUUAUAUAUGUUGUUUCUUUAUUUUGUGGAUAUUUGUUAAUUGUUUGUACAUCUGAUUUUAACACUUUCAAAUAUUGACCGCAUGGGCUGUGUUAGGAACGAUAGAAUUUCCUUGACUGCAUCUUCUAGGUGAGAGCGUAUGUAGAAGAAUGUAGUGGAAAGGAGAGUGGUCAAGGGCAUGGGCAUGGGCCGCAAUGCUGAGACGCAGAGAGGUCGUCAGUUCCUAGACAUUAGUGGACAGUUACGGCGCAUCGAGGAACAUGUCAGAAGUAUUUAACUUUUUUAGUGAAGAUUUUUUUAAUUUAGAAUUUUUAAAGAGUGUCUCGAAAACACUCAUUAGCAAGACUGAUAAGUUGUAGUUUAUGGUGUUUUUAUCAUUUAAAUUCAAUAAUAUGUACGUUGUUUUAGUUUUAAUUUAGAUUCAUUUUACUGGAAAACAUUAGUUUUUAUUUUCAUAAUCAAAAUUAUGAAGAACAUUAUACCUAGAUUAAGAGCGAGGAAAAAGAGCCAUGAAAGAGCCAUAAAGCAGCAGCACGGAUGGUCCGUGGUUCCAUCUAGGUCGUGGAGUUCUUAAAAUGUCAAAAUUUCAAAAGUUGAAGUACAAGCACAACCGUGUGCCCCAACACGGUAGAAACAAGCAUGAUUGUGCACUUCAGAAGCACGACUUUUGCACCCCUCAAAACACAACAAAAUGUCAAAAGUUGGAAAGGUGAGCAUGACCGUGCACCCUUGAAGCACGACCGUGAGUCUUGUGCAGAGAAAAAUAGUUGUUACAACCUCUUAAAGUUCUUUGGUUCAUGGCUUGUAACUUGUUUUUAAUAUAUUUGUCUGAGGCUCUAGGCUAUAAAUAUACCUCACUUCUAAGGAAAAAAGAAUCUUAGAUACUUGUAAACUUACUCUAAAGUUGAAAGCAUAAUUUUGCAAUGUUUUAAGUUCUUUGUUCUUUAUUUUUCAUUUCUUUACAUUUGUAUUCUUUACUUUUCUGUUCUUUACAUUUUCAGUAUUUUAUCUUCAUGUCUUUAUAUUUUAAUCACAUGUCUAUUAUGAUCAUAUGUUAGUAAACAAACUAUUCUAGUCUUGGAAUUGUUAGAAUAAUCAAUCUAAUGAUUGAAUGUUAAUCAACCCAAGUCUAGACUCUAUUUUAUAAGAAUCCAUUUUAUAAUCUAAUAUCAUCGUUACUAAAUUUUAUUUUAUAAUCUAAUAUCAUUGUUAUGAAAUUUUAUAACAAGUAUCAAACAAAGAACUGAGAGUUGAUGUUUGAUAUUGUUAUUUAAUCAUGUCUAAGAUAUCAAACGAAGGACCGAGAGGUGAAAUUUGAUAUUGGAAUAAAUGAGAUUGUAAGAGAUAAGCAAAAUAUGAAAAUAAUUUUAUGACUCUUAGGACAAUAAGGUUAUAAGGUUGCACUCGAAAAGUUUCAAUGAUAAUCAACUAUGAGAAUAGGUUUAAUUACUGUUGAGAUACAUACAUUCAUGUAAUCUGAUAGGAAACUGAUAGAAUAUGUGUUACUUAGUCAUGUAAUUUGUAUUAUUAAAAGAAUAUUAAUACGUAUUCAUUGUGUUAAUUAGUCAUUCAUUUUGUAUUCAUUAGUCAUUAAGAGAAUGAUAACAAUUUGAUGUAUAUAAUGCACUCAGAUUAUCAAUGAAAAUCAUUCAGCUAUUUUCCUAUAUGGUAUCAGCUAGGUUUUAGAUCCUCUCCUACUUCUUCUAGCCGCCCACCACCACCUUUUCUUCCCUAUACUUCCGUUAUAAACCGCCAUCCAUGGCUACCUCAACAACAGCUGAAUCAACCACUCUCUCAACAAAUUCCUCUCCCGUGACAGACACAUUUGUCUCAACGGCACCAUCAUCAAAAAUUCACUCGGCCUUCACUAUCAACAACGUGAAGUCUAUCAUUCCCGUAACCUUGCACAAUGGCAGAAUGCUUUUCAUUGAUAAUCUGAGUGCAUUAUAUACAUCAAUUUGUUAUCAUUCUCUUAAUGACUAAUGAAUACAAAAUGAAUGACUAAUUAAUAUAAAUGAAUACCUAUUAAUAUUCUUUUAAUAAUACAAAUUACAUGACUAAGUAACACAUAUUCUAUCACUCCCACGCAGUUGAUGCGGGAGGUUGUCGGACGCUGAGUCUGUCCCUAAAAUCUUGAAAUAAAACCAAUGGGAGACCCUUAGUGAAGAUAUCUACAAUUUGAUAGCGUGAUGGAACAUGUAGGACACGGAUGUCUCCACGAGCUACUUUUUCACAAACAAAAUGAAUGUCCAUUUCGAUAUGUUUUGUGCGUUGGUGCUGGACGGGAUUUCGGAUAGAUAUAUGGCACUAACAUCCUUAUUAUCUAAUCCUAAACUACAAUGCACACAACAAUUGCAAAACCCUAAUCCUUGGUUUUGAGCGGGAAAAUUGUGAUUUAACCACAUUUAAUGGCAUUUUUGAAUUUCAAAUCAUGUACCCUUUUGAAAUGUGUGCAUAUGUGCCUAAUUAAUGCAGAUUUUGAAAUUCAAAUAUCCCACCACUUGGAAUUGUGCUCGCUUCUUUCCAAGACAUGCAGUUACCCACUUCUCAAUGCAAAAGCAUCUGAACCAAACAAACCUAUUUCCUUGCAUUUUGCUCUUUCUCCCUCUCUCUCACUCCCCUCUCACGCCCAUUUUUCUCUAAUCAGAAAAGGUCAACGAUUUUCAGUCCCUCUUCUCUUCUCUCUCACUCCAGUUUUCUCUCAAAAAAAAGCCUCUUCUCUUCUCCCACGUUAUUUUUUUCUUCAUUUUCUAACAUUCUUCUUCAAUUCUCCAUCUCUCUCUCUCAUUGUUUCUCGCGUAGCUCUUCGUGUCUUAGUUUGGGUGUUCUCUUCAUCGCCGGUCAGCCUCACCAAGGCAAUAAGCAUCUUCAAGUUUUAUUGAAAGAGAAUGCUUCUAUGCAACAAAAUUUUCAAGACCUUCGAUCCCUCGGUAUGCGUUUUCAGUUUCGUUACGUUUUGAUUGAUUUUGAUUUCGCGAUUAGGAUUUUGGUAUCACCGGUGUUGUUUUGAUUGAUUUUUCCGAUUUGAUAGGAAAGGAGCUUGAAGAAGGUGGAGUUCUCAGUGAAUCGGCACUGUCGCGGAAGGUUUUUCUUUUCAUCAACGAUCUUCUCUCUCAUUCUCUCUCAUUCGCUGCUCUUCUACUAAGCUUUGAUUGUGGAACGUAUGAAGGCAGAGUGACAUCUGAUAACGAUCAGAAUCAAGGCUACUAAGCUUAGAUUAUGGCUUCUAGGGGCAGAGGAAAAUGAGGAAGAAAAAGCACCAUCAAUUACAAUCUGCUCUACAUGUAUAAUGUUUUCCGUAUUCGAAUUAUUUCAAAUUGCAAGUAAUUUAAAUUGAGUUUUAAGGUAGUUUUCUUUGACUGCAAGUAUAAGGGGCUUAUUUCACAAGGUUAUACUUAGAUGUGUAUAUUCACUAUUGAAGCUUAUUUUGAGUUUCCGUGAUGACUUACUUUAUCGAAAUCACGGUGUGCCGCCGCGAUUUAGAAAAAGUUAUAGGGUGCAGCUUUUACAAUAACUAAAAAUUAACUAAUGAUUUGCCUGAAGUUUCUAAUUCUUUUUAUUGGUCCGAUUACAGUCCCUCUCUGAUGAUUUUCUACAACUAUCAGAUUUGAUUGAAUCAACUAAGGUUAAUUAUUUUGUCCAUAAUUUUUGCAAGAUAACUCUUCAGUCUACUGUUUUAGGUCAAAAUUAAUUUAUUUUGUGUAUAGAACAAUAGUUAUGCAGACCACCCAUUUCAAUAGGAUAAUGUCAAAAUUAAUUUAUGCAGACCAUCCAUUUCAAUAAUCAAUAAUGUUUUUUUGGGUUUGUUUGUAUAAUAGCAGGUUUUUUAAGAUUUGUUUUGUGUAUAAUGUGUCAUUUCACUCCACGUAGCCAAUCUUAGUGUUUGUUCAUGAAUAGAAAGUGGCUCAUAAAACAAUUUAAGGGUUCGAUUGUUCUAUAUUAUCUUUGCUCAUCUCUCUUAGUGUUUGAAAUUAGUUCAAAGAGUGGUCUAAAAAUUCUGCUAACAUAUGAGGAUGACGCUUGCAUUGAUAGUUUUUUUUUUUAAAAAAAAAAAAAAAAUCGCAUUGUAUACACAUAAAUUCCUUGAAAUAUAAUUGUAUACACAACGUACACUACAUACGAGGUCAACUUUACGUCGCAAUAUCCAAGGUGACCUCCAGGAAUGGGUUGAAGAUUUUAAUGAAUGAUGAUAAUAGUAAUAGCAUGAAUAGCACUUCAAAUGUAGUUAUAAGGAGAUUUUCUGCAAUCUACCGAUUUAAGGUCUUUUUUAAUGUAUUUUUUUUAGAAACAAUUUAUUUUGUACCGCAAGCAUAUUUAAUUUCAAUACAUUUUGUAAUAGCAUAUUUUAUUUUGUACAGCACGGGUGGAUGGUCUAGUUAUCACAAUAAACUAAACUAGCCUUGUGAAUGGGGAAAUGUAAUUCCAAAAGCAAGUUUCAUAACCAACAAGAUUCAGAAACCGCAUUGGAACCCCUCGAUAUUCUGCUUCAGCACUUGAACGAGAUAAAGUAGGUUGUCGUUUGGAAGACCAUGAGAGUAAGUUGUCACCAAGAGAUACACAGCAACCAGAGGUGGAUCGUCAGGUAUCUAGGCAACUUCCCCAAUCUGCAUUGUGUAAACAAUCAAUGAUGAUGUAGAAGAAGAGUAAAGUUGCAGUCCAUACUCGCGUGUGCCCUGAAUAUAUCUCAGGAUGCGUCAAAGGGUGUGCAUGUGAUCAUCCAUUGGAUUGUGCAUAAAUAAACAUAUUUGUUGCACUGCAUAAGAAAUGCCAGGCCUUGUGAAGGUGAGGUAUUGUAGGGCGCCAGCAAGGCUGCGAUAUAGAGAAAGGUCUUCAAAUGGGGUGCUAGUUUUGGCUCUCAUCUUUGGUUUAGUAUCAACCGUUGUAGGACAUGGUUUACAAGAAGCCAUUCCAGCACGAUCAAUAAUUUCUUCUGCAUAUUUUUUCUGAGACAAAAAUAAGCCACCAGGAUGACGUGUGACAGCAAUACCCAAAAAAUAAUUCAACAAUCCCAAAUCUUUCAUAGCAAACUCGGAACUAAGGAGUGAUAUGAUAGACUUUCAAAGGUCGUCAGAGGAAGAGGAAGCAGUAAGAAUGAUAUCAUCUACAUACAGUAUGAGGUAGGCCAAAAGGUGGGUUUUUCCUAUAUGGUAUCAGAAAAACUCUGCUUCCCGGAACUCUGGCAGAGGUGGUCGAAAUGGUACUGGUAAUUAUUGAUCUAUAACAAUAACCAUAUACGAAGACUACCUCAAAAAAAAAAAAAAAAAAAACGUACGAAGGAGAAUCAACCAUCUGGAUAAUACAUAUCCUUAUUUUAUUUAUUUGAAUUUGAAUGGCAACCACCAAAGCCACAUAUAGAAAGAAUAUUUUCCUACCAAUCGUACAUGAUGCCCAUAACAAAAGAUAGGUUCCAUAAUAUGGCCCCAUAAUAUCCUUAUCCUUAUAAUUAUGGUUCAGAAAAUAAAAAACCUCGUUAAGUUUUAGGAUUAUUUUAAGUUGAUAAAUAUUAACGAGUAUCUUCAGAGCAUUUUUCAAACAUCUAAAGUGGUAAGAUUUUAUGAAAGUUGAGCAUUUAUUAUAUUGGAAAUUGAAGUCUUUACAUUUCUUUUAAAAAUAAUUUUUUCAUUAUAAAUGCUUAAAAGGUGCUCCAUGGACAUUCAUUAACAGGACUCUUUUAAAUUUUAGAAUGUUAGCAUUUCCCUAAAACACAUGUUAAAGAUAGAGAUAUAUUAUGGCCUCUCACGGUAGCACCCGCCUACGUAGCGAGUUUAUGGUCAAUCUAAGUCAUUUACUAAAUGUCAAAAUUAUGUAUGAAUUGAAUUAUUCAACAAUGUUACAAGCUCCAUGUAUUUGCUACUAGUUGAUGAUCACUAACUAUCCUUUCAUUUUCCAUACAACUAGACCAUUUUUUUUUAGUAUUAUUUGCUCUAUCUCUCCACUUGUUUCCACAAAUAUGAUUAAUUUUUUUCGAAAAUUUUGUUUUUUUAAAUAUGAUAUUAUGGAAAACAAAAUUCGAAAAUUUGAAUAUAUAUUAAUCUUUUCCACAAUUUUUUUAAAUAUUUCCCGAUUAUUUUUAUAAUUUUUCCAGAUUUUUUUCAUUAUUUUUUAUUUUACCAGAUUUUUUUAAUCAUUAUUAAUUUUUACAUUUUUUUUUUAAAUUUUUCAGUAUUUUUUUUAAUCAUUAUUCGUUUUUUAAAUUUUUUUAUUUUUAUUUUAAAAAAAUCACAAAUGCCACGUGGCGUUCAUUUACACGCGUGGCAUGAAAAAAAUUAAACAAAAAAAAAUUGACACGUCACUGCCACGUAGUAGAUUCUGCCGACACAUUGAGGUGAGGGGUCAAUCCUGAAGAAUCUUCAUUUUUCAAGGGUGGAAUCUAAAAAAAAAAAAUUACAGGGGCUAAAACCAAAAGUGCAUUAUAUUACAAAGGCCAAAAACACUAUUAACACUAUAUUAUUACUUCUUCUUUUUUAUAAAAAUCCAAAUAAAAAUCAUUUGCAUUGCAGCCAAUUGGCCAAAUGCAACAUGACAAGCGCAAAAUUGCUCCAUGUUGACUUGUGAGAACUCUUGUUCUAGAUAGAGAACCUUAUAGUUUUUGUUGUCACAGAAAAUGUUAAACAACUUUUUCCAUGCAAUUUAUGCGUCUGAAUCGCGCUUGAUGAUGGUGAUGAGAAUAUAUUCUGAGGUGGUGUCAUAUAUCCAUUAUAAUACGACAACAUCAAAAAGCGGCCAAAGAUUGGGAUUGAUUUCUUUGAGAGAGGGAGUUGUUGGCUUAUUAGUGGGUGAGGGAGGAAUGAUGUGAUGAAAGACUUGAUGAACCCUUGCAUGAAUUUUAAAGAGUUCGAACCACGUAUUAUAUUGGACCCUUUUUUAUACUAAACGUAACCUUGAUGAAAUUGGUGAUAAUUGAAAAUGGUGGUAGAGGGAUGGAUAGGUGUGGAAGGAGUUGGGGUUGAAAUUGUCCUUCGAGUGGUAGUAUUUUUGGGGAUGAUUCGGCCCUGAUGGUGAAUGAAGGAGAAGAGGAACGAUGGCGCUGUAUUAGGUUUACGAGAGAAGGAUGAGUACCAACAACUUACUGAUACCAUGUAAGAAUUAUAAUAAGAUAAUUAUUAGUCGUGUGUCAUUUGCAUUGAGAGGAUCCGUUGACACUAGGUGUCAAACUUUAGUUUGACAUCAAAUCUCAACCGUCUAUUAUGUCUAAUCUAAUGGUCUGUGAUUAUUUAUUAAAUUAACUUGUGUGAUCUUUUUCCCAUGUCUCACCUGAUCCCACGCCGGCUGUUCUGCUCCAUCUCCUUCAACUUAUCAAAGUUAAUAUGGCCAACAAUCAAAUACACACACAAAUUAAUUCUUUUUUUUUUUUAAAGAAGAAGAAGCUAAAUUAGCCCACACAAAUUGGCACCGGAGAGAAUCGAUCCUGAGACCUCGAGGAGGAGCACACUCCCAGAUCCCAAGUCAAUACCACCAGACCAACCCAAAUGAUAAAUAAGGAGUUAAUUCUAAAUAAGGAGUUAUACAUAUAAUUACAUAUUGUUGACAUUAAUUGUUCUCUGUGGGGCAAGAUACUUGAGGUGUAAGUUUCAUAAGAUGCAAGUUCUUUUAAGUCUAAAUUGUCUUAUACUUACAUUAUUUUAGGUCUAAAUUUCAGAAACCAUUAUCACAAAUUUUUUGACAAUCUUAUCUCACAUACUCGUACUAUAUUUUUACUUCUCUUUUUGUUGUUUUGGUUUUUGUUUUCAUACCUAAUUUUCCUUGUAAAUCUAUAGUUGUCUCAUAAAUUAUCGUUAAAAUUGUUGUUCAAAUAACACAACUCCUAUUUCUAAUACUCAAAAUUUGUUCAAAUUAAGUUUUUAAAGAACUUCUAAUAAAAUCAGAUUAAGUUUUUUUGAACUUUCUAAAUACUUAAAUUGAAUUUUCUCGAAUAUACAUCUUGGAGAAAGAAAAAAAAUAAUUAUAGGAGGGAGAUGCAAAACUUACGUUUUCUUUCACUAGAAACAUAUUUUGAGUUUUCAAUAUCAUCAAAAUCAUAAACUUUAUUUAUUUGCAAAUCUAGAGCACAUAUAGCACGAUUUUCUCUCAUAAUUUACAUUGAUAUAACACAUAUUAUGUUCUUACCUUGCCCAAACAUUCGGGAUUUAAUUGAUAAUGUAAAAGAUGUUUUCAAAUGUAGAAUAAGAAAGAUGGAAAACCUCCAAGCCAAAUUAUACACAAGAAUAUAAAACAAAGCAUUUACUUGGUAGAUAAUAUUUUCUUUUUAAACAGCAAAUUUUAUUCAUAAUAAGAUAACCUAACACAAGAAGUGAAGAGGCUAUAGGGGAAAGACACAAGGUAACAAUACAUAAAGACAACUAAACCAAUGCUAAAAAUCCACAUCACAAAACCACCCAAACAACCCUUAAUACAAUAUAAUCACAGCAGAAAAACCUUAACCAAAUCAAGCAAACACACCCAGACCUUCCCCUAACACAAAAUCAAACCAGUUUCCAUCAACACCACAUCAAUAGACCCCUUAAAUAAUUGAACAAAAACCAGCCACCUAAACUUCCUGGUACCAGUAAAUUACAAUUACUUAGUAGAUAUUGAUAUGUCUUGUUGCAUUGAUGUUUCAGAAAUGUGUGGCUGGAGGGCAAUCUUUGGGUCGUAACUUCCACAAUAUCUUCGAGCAGCGAUUGAUUUUGGGAGUUUUGAAUUUUGGGAAGGCAGCAUCAACAGCAAAAUGUUGAGGAGCAAGCAUAAAAGCAGCAAGGAAUAACACUAAUAAGGAUAAGAAAAAGGAAUUAGCCAUUUUAAGAAGUGAUAUUAUUAUUGUGUUGGUGCAUAAUACAUAUGGAGUUAACUGGCUUUAUACUAGUUAGAGACUCAAUGUGAGUUUAUGGUCAAUCUAAGUCAUUGUGUAUGAAUUCAAUCAUUCAACACGUAGGUUCCAUGCAUUUGGAAAACUAGUUGAUGAUUAAAAAUGUUCAAUAUAUUAGGCUAUGAAUUGUUUAUGAAUUGAAUUGUUG